UCCCCAUCUGAUAUUGUUAUCAGAAAAUGAUUGUCCACUGAUCACCAUGAAUUGCACAAUCAGCUUGAACAAAAUAGUGCUUUAAGAACAUAUUUUGAGAAUGAAAUGUGUUGUCAAUAAUAGUAAUUUUUUUUUCAUGUUAGGCCAACCUUCUCAGUGGGUUUUGUUAAUUAGAAGGCAAGGCAAUUCCUGUUAAUAAAGAGUACUUGAGUAGUGCUGGACAUAUUGGAAAACAUUUAUCAAGUGAAGUGUCAACUCAUGUAUGUAUAGAGAAAUGUAUAUCAACACUUGUUUAUUACGUUACACGCACAGAGCCAGUCAUUUUAAGUGAUUCAAAUACUAAUAAAAGCCUGAUCUACUAAAUGAUCAAAAUAAUGAAACAUAGAUACAACACACAUAUCGAUUGACCAGAUAAACUGGAAAAAAACAAAAGUAAAUUGAUAAAUUGGAAAAUUAUUAGGAAAGAUGGUAUUCGUUUACUUGGACAAAUCUUGUGAUCACAGGGAAAAAGAAUUGUCAAACUACUACUGGUAUUACCAUUUUUAUGGAAUAAUGGAAUUUGCAUACAAUGAAUACCAACUAUUAACAAAGAGAGUAAUGUAUUUUUUCCACUCAAGCAUACCUGCUUCAAUAGCUUAACCAUAGUAUCCCCCAUGAUCUAUGUGAAAUAAAUAACAUUCUGUUUGAAUAAUAGACUGCUAGACAGUGGGAAUGCAAUUAUCCCAGAUGACUCAUAUCAAUCUGUUUACUAAUUUUGCGGCUCAAAUGAUAUUCAAAUUGCAGUGGCCCUCAAGAGAUUUGGACUAGUGGUAAGAGCGCAACACACAACUUGUCAUUAGGCGCAGGUCAUGGCUUCAAGCCAAAGUGUCUUGAACCAUGUGCCACCGACCCUUGUGGAUGUCUCGGUUUUAAAGAAAAUUACUCCACUUGCAGUGGACACAAAUGAUUUCGAUACAUAACAUAGUUCAAGUUUACGAAGUCAACUAGUUGCAUAGUGCAUACUAAGCUAAACACACAGUGGCUAAUCUUCAACACAUAAUAAACAAAGUUCCCCUGACUAGAAAUAUGUCAGCCAACAUCAACAAUAGUUGGGUACUUACAUUGCCAUAGCUUUCUCCAUGCCUUUCCCGUGAAUUGUCAAGAACACCUUCCCCGCACUGUCCAAGCUACUCUUGUCAAUUGCAAUUGCUCCGAACACCGCCCUGAAAGCACCACAAACCACUGCAGGAGCAGACGAAUUGGUCUUCCGUGAAACCCUGAUUAUCUUCUGUAAACCUAAGCGUCCUCCGUCAGCAACACACGAUGAUACCACAUUGGAGGACAGAUCCACAAUAACCUGGUUGAGAUCCUUGGGGGGCAUGUCGAUGUCCUUGCUAAGCAAUUGCAGAGAAACCGAACCCUCAAUCACCUUCUCCCCCAAAAUGCUCAAAGCUCUAUUGUUCUCUCCUGAGUAUGAUGCAUGCGUCAGUGCGCGUCGUAGCAACUCCACAUCUUGAAAUGUGUACCUAAAUGGAAAUGUAUUCAUACACAAGAGGAACUCAAUUUCAACCAGGGUUUGAUUAACUGAACAGAACAAUUAAAAGAAACGAGCUAAAGGUCAAAAACACACCUAAAAUAUCAAUUUUCCAAGUUUUACACCUAAACUAUCAGGUGUUUUUCCCAGCUAAACCUCAACUAUCAAUUGUUCGCUUGUACUACAUGGAUGUAUGUUUUAAUAAAUAGUUGAUGAUAGUCCAGUCAGGAAACUCAAAAAACCAAGCUACUCUAGGUGUGUUUUUGACCAGAAACUCUUAAGAAAAAAACAAAAAAUUACUAAAAAGGAGUACUGAAAUAAGUGAGAGAAAUUUACGGCAAAAAAUACACUACAGGUGUACGAGAUUUUCCUGUAUGCAUGAACUAUCACCGACUAUUUAUCAAAGCACACUUCAACUACCAAUUGUUCGCUUUUCCUAUCUGACAUGUGUGGUUUGAUAAAUAGCGGGUGAUAGUUCACUCCCGCACUUGAUAGUUUAGAUAUGACACUCAAAAGACUGAGCUAAUUUAAGUGUAUUUUUACCCUAAACUCUAAAAAGAAUACUAAAUUACUAAAACGUAGAUAAGAAUCAGAGAGAGAAAUUACUGGAUUUGGUUUUGAAGGGUUUCAAGAGCGAUAGAGAAAGGCGAAGUGGGUCUGAUUGAUAAGGAUGGAUUUGCCCGAGCCUGUCAAAAAUUGGUACUAUUAAAUAAGUUAGGGUUUAACAUUACUACAGGGAAAAAACAGAUUAUUACCUGAGGAGAAGAGUAGAGGGCUAAAGCAAGUAAGAUGGAGCAAAUAAAUCGCCGGAGAUGCCACAUGUUUCCGGUGAAAUGGGCAAGUAUUCCUCCUCGAUAACGACAAAGUAAAGCUCAGUCGAUUGACAUGCAGGCUAAAAAAGCAACUGGCUGUUUGGUAGUAGCUCGUUAGAAUUACGCAACUACUAGUAAUGUAGUUUUUAUUGUAAAGAUAAAUUUGAUAUGCUAAUCUAAUUUUAUAAAUUUUUUAUAUAAAAAUUAAUAAAGGAAAAAUUAGAUAAUAAUGCACAAAAUUUAAAUUCUAUAUUAUAAUAUUCCCUCCGUUCUCCUUUUUUUAUAUUACUAUCUUUAAUUAAAUGAAAUCUUAUCAAUAAAAUUAAAAUUAUGUCUAACAAAUAAGAAAAUGUAAUAUUCUUUUUAGGAUGGAAUCAUGUAUAAAAAAUAACCACAGAGGGAGUAAUUUAUGUAGAUAUUAAUUUUUUUAUUUUUUAUCUUACAUAAGAUAAUCUACAAAUUUCUUUAUAAUUUGUAUAUGUGUUAACUAAGUGAAUUUCUAAAUUUCAAAUUAAAGUCACGUUAAUUUUGUACACUUAAGUUAAUUUUGUUAACUUACUUGAGAAAAUUGAAGGAAAGGUGUCUUUUAAGUCUUGAAUAAAGGAUUGGUGAUAUUGACCAAUUUAAAGGGUCAAACAUAAUUAAAAAACUUGAUUAAGUUAAUUGUGGACUUGAUUAAUAUUUUCUAAACUUUUUAAUCUUUUCAAAAAUACAAACUAACCCACACCCACAAAACUUUCCUCCCUCUACAAAUCAAUCUCUCUCUCUGCUCUCUUUCUCUCGAUAGUUUCUCUCUCUAACUUCUCCCAACCAACAAUUUUUCAAAUUUCUCCCUUCAAUCUUGUGCAACUUCAACCUCUGGCAACAAAUAGUUUUAAGUUCUUGCCCGUUUCUUUUUUACUUUCAACCGUCAGUCGACGUGACAACAUUCUCUGGCGCCAACAACUUCGAGUUCUUCAUUGUUUCUUUUCGAUUUUCACAAGUAAAAAAAUAUGGCUUUUAAGUUAUGACGAAAAUGAGGAACUUGAUUUGUUGGUGUUUGUUAUUUUUUUUACGUUUUUUGUUAUUUUUUUUUAUUGUUUGUUAUUUUUUAGUUGAAUUUCUCAUCUAGAUGUAUCUACUACUGCUGUUUUUUAAUAAUGGAGAAAACAUGUAACAUGAAUUCAACAGAAGAGUAUUUGUUGCAACAUAUAUGACUAAUCUGUUCCACAGAUUAGUAAUCUGUUGCAACAUAUAUGACUAAUAUGUUGCGCAGAUUAGUAAUCUGUUGCAACAUAUAUGACUAAUCUGUUGCGCAGAUUAGUAAUAUGUUGCAAUAUAUAUGACUAAUCUGUUGCAACAUAUAUGACUAAUUUGUUGCAACAAAUGAGUAAUCUGUUGCAACAUAUAUAACUAAUUUGUUGCAAUAGAUUACUCAUCUGUUGGAUUCAUUUUAUAGUGUUGUAAUGUGAAUCCAACAUAUGGGUUAUCCGUUGCAAUAAAUUAGUCAUAUAUUACAAUAGAUUACUCACUUGUUGCAAUAGAUGAUUCAUAUGUUGGAUUCAUGUUGCGGGUUCUAUCCACUGUAGCAGUAGCAGAUACACCAAAUAAGAAAUUCAACAAAAACAAUAAUUUUACUUACAAAAUAAGCUAUGAAGUAAUGUCCAAGUGAUAUACGAACAAAAUUUGACCUAAAAAAAUUUUAAAAAAUUUCAAUAAAGACACAAUGAAUAAGUAAAACACAUGAAAAAUUUCAUGAAACGGGUAAAAAAGACAAAAAUAACAUACCAUACAUCAAGUGCAAGAGGAUCAAGGGGACAAACAUUUGAGUUCUUCUAAAAACGUUUAAGUUCCCUAAUAUUUUAAUUGCUUUCUAAUAGUUGACCCAUCUAUUACAACAGAUUUUCUAUCUGUUUGAUAAUUUCGAACAAAUGAAUCAUCUAAUGCAACAUGCUAGUCAUCUGUUGAUUCAAAUUAAGCAAUUAUUAGUAAUAACUAAAUUGAUUUAGCUAAAAUUAAAGACGUCUCUACGACAAUGGGACAAACAUUUGUGUUCUCCUAAUUAUAUUUGAGUUCCCUAGUAUUUUAAUUAUUUUCCAACAGAUUAUCUAUUUGUUGCAACAAGUUAGUCAUCUAUUGCAACAGAUGUUUAUAACAGGUUAGUCAUUUGUUUAUUCAAAUUAAGUAAUCAUUAAUAAAAACUAAAUUAAUUUAAUUAAAAUUGAAGACAAGUCGUUAAUACAAGACCUUAGAUAAGGGGACAAAUGUUUGAGUUCUCCUAAAAACAUUUGAGCUUUAGUAUUUUAAAUUGUUUUCCAACACAUAGAACUCGGAACCAACAUGAGCCACGGAAUUAAAAAAGUGACCAAAAUAGACCACCUAUUUAAAAAGAUACCAAAAUAGGCUAAAGGUAAUAAUUUAUUACAUUUUCUACUUUUUUUCUUAACGGUCAAUUAAUGGAGUUGACUUUUACAAAAACGUAAGAAUUUCUUACAUUUUACAUUUUUUUGGUAAAACGUAAGAAAUUCUUACGUUUUAUAAAAAAAAAUAUAUAAGUAAGAAUUUCUUAUGUUUUACACGAUAAUCGAGGAAAAAAAUACAAUAAAUUGUUAAAUCAAUUAAAAAGAUACUAAAAAAGAGUUGUUCAACGUAACAAAAAGUUACGUUCUCAACUUUUUUAUAGCAGUGAUCCCCCACCCACAAUUCCCUUUUCCACAAAUGUCCAUCGCUUCUACUUUUUCCCUUUUUUACAUAUGAUAAUUAUGAAUUUUUUUAUUAGUUAAAUUUAUUUAUAUUUUACAUGUAGUUCAAAUAAUUUAUUUUUUCUAAUAAAUUUUACGUUUUACAUGAAAAAAAUUUAAAAAAAGAAGUAUCAAUUACCUCAUUAACUUAACAAUUUUCUUAUAUUUAGUCUAUAUCAUAAAACAACCACUUCUAUCCUUAAUUAUCCGAUUUUUCUUUAAAAAUAUUAUACUUUUGAGUUUUUCUCUACUCCAAAAUAGUGAAAUAUUGAAUUAUCGUCAAUCAAAUAUGCUACUAUAUACAAGAAUUAUAUUUUUUUAAGAGUGUUCCAAAAAAAAAACUAUAUUUUCUUAUAUUAAUUUAGGAGGGUUCCUAAAUUAAAUUGUGAUUUUUUUCUCCAUUAAUUAUAAUAUGAAACGUAUUUGUGCAUGUGAGUCUCCUCAAUAUCCUAAUUGAAACACUAAUAAAAAUCUACGAUGAAUCACUAUCCGAAAAAAUUAAUUUCAUAUUUUUAACACAGCAAAAAAAUAUAAUUCUUGUAUAUAGUAGCAUAUUUGAUCGACAAUAAUUCAACAUUUCACUAUUUUGGAUUAGAGGAAAGUUUAAAAGUAUAAUAAUUUUUUAGAGAGAAAUCGAAUAAUUAAGGAUAGAAGUGAUUAUUUUUUUUAUAUAAAAUAAAUAUAAGAAAAUUGUUAAGUUAAUGAGGUAAUUGAUACUUCUAUUUUUUAAAUUUUUUAUGUAAAACAUAAAAAUUUAUUACAUAGAGGAAAAAAUAAAUUAUUUGAACUACAUGUAAAAUCUAAAUAAAUUUAACUAAUAAAAAAAUUCAUAAUUAUCAUAUGUAAAAAGAGGAAAAUAUAGAAGUGAUGGGACAUUUGUGGAAAAAAGAAUUGUGGGUGGGGGACCACUGCUAUAAAAAAGUUAAGAACGUAACUUUUCGUUAUGUUGAACAACUCGUUUUUUAGUAUUUUUUUAAUUGAUUUGAUAAUUUACUGCAUUUUUUUCUCGGUCAUCGUGUAAAAUAUAAGAAAUUCUUAUUCUUACGUUUUACAAAAAAAAUGUAAAACGUAAGAAAUUCUUAUGUUAUUUGUAAAAGUCAACUCCGUUAGUUGACCGUUAAGAAAAAAUAGAAAACGUAAUAAAUUAUUAUGUUUAGACUGUUUUGGUAACUUUUUAAAUAGGUGACCUAUUUUGGUCACUUUUUAAAUUCUGUACCUCAUUUUGGUUCUGAGUUCACAUAUAUCUUGUCUAUUUAAUAAUUUUCAAUAUAUGAGUCAUAUAUUGCAACAUAUGUCUAUUGCAGCAGGUUAGUCAUCUGUUGCAACAAAUGUCUAUAUAUGUUUGGUCAUUUUCAACAAAUGUCUUUAACUGAUUGGUCUUUUCCAACAGAUUACUCAUCUAUUGCAACAUGUUAAUCGAAAUCCUAAUUGAACUUAUCAAUUCAUCUUUAAUUUUAGUUAAAUCAAUGUUGUUAUUACUAAUAAUGUCUUAAUUUGAAUCAUUUCAAAUAAAAUUGAUCAAUUAACACUUUACUCAAGACGAAUACACUUAGAUGAUCAUGUAAUUACUAUGAGAUUAAUUGAAAUCGUAAUUAAAUUCUCAAUUCAUCUUUAAUUUUAGUUAAAUCAAUGUUGUUAUUACUAAUAAUGUGUUAAUUUGAAUCAUUUCAAAUAAAAUUGGUCAAUUAACACUUUACUCAAGACGAAUACACUUAGAUGAUCAUGUAAUUACUAUGAGAUUAAUUGAAAUNNNNNNNNNNNNNNNNNNNNNNNNNNNNNNNNNNNNNNNNNNNNNNNNNNNNNNNNNNNNNNNNNNNNNNNNNNNNNNNNNNNNNNNNNNNNNNNNNNNNNNNNNNNNNNNNNNNNNNNNNNNNNNNNNNNNNNNNNNNNNNNNNNNNNNNNNNNNNNNNNNNNNNNNNNNNNNNNNNNNNNNNNNNNNNNNNNNNNNNNNNNNNNNNNNNNNNNNNNNNNNNNNNNNNNNNNNNNNNNNNNNNNNNNNNNNNNNNNNNNNNNNNNNNNNNNNNNNNNNNNNNNNNNNNNNNNNNNNNNNNNNNNNNNNNNNNNNNNNNNNNNNUGAUCACUCUACUCAGGACGAACACACUUAGUUGAUCGUGUAAUUACCAUGAGAUUAAUUAAAACAGUAAUUGAACUUAUUAAUACUAGUUAAAUCAAUUUAGUUAUUACUAAUAUAAUGGCUUAAUAUGAAUCAAUAGAUGACUAAGAUGUUGCAAAAGAUGAGUAAUCUGUUGAAAAUAAUCAAACAGAUAAAGACAUCUGUUGCAACAGAUUAGUCACCUAUUGCAACAAAUUAGUAAUCUGUUGAAAAUAACAAAUAGAUAAAGUCAUAUGUUGCAACAAAUUGGUCAUCUGUUAGAAAUGACCAACAGAUAAAGACAUUUGUUACAACAGAUAACUAAUCUAUUGCAACAUAUGUGUAUAUCUGUUUGAUAAUUUUCAACAAAUGAUUCAUUUGUUGUAACAGAUUAAAUCUGUUGCAAUAGGUUAUACACUUAAAUGAUCAUGUAAUUACUAGGAGACUAAUUGAAAUUGUAAUUAUUAAAUCAAUUUGGCUAUUAUUAACAAUGGCUUAAUUUGAAUCAUUUCAAAUAAAAUUAGUCAAUUGAUUACUCUACUCAGAACGAACACACUAAGAUGAUCGUGUAACUAAUAUGAGAAUAAUUGAAAUCGUAAUUGAACUUAUCAAUUCAUCUUUAAUUUUAGUUAAAUUAAUGUAUGGCUUGGAAUCAUUUUAAAUAAAAUUGGUCAAUUGAUAACUCUACUCAGGACGAACACACUUAGUUGACCGUGUAAUUACCAUGAGAUUAAUUAAAACAGCAAUUUAACUUAUUAAUACUAGUUAAAUCAAUUUAGUUAUUACUAAUAUAAUGGCUUAAUAUGAAUCAAUAGAUGACUAACAUGUUGCAAAAGAUGAGUAAUCUGUUGAAAAUGACUUAACAGAUAAAGACAUCUGUUGGAAAUGACCAAACAGAAAAAGACAUUUGUUGGAAAUGACCAAAUAAAUAUAGACACAUGUUGCAACAAAUGACUAACCUAUUGCAAUAAAUGACUCAUCUAUUGAAAAUUAUCAAACAAAUAUAGACAUCUGUUGCAACAGAUGACUGAGUUGUUGCAGCAGAUGACUCAUCUAUUGAAAAUUAUCAAACAUAUAGGAUAUAUGUUGGAAAAUAAUUUAAAAUACUAAAGCUCAAAUGUUUUUAAGAGAACUCAAAUGUUUGUCCCCUUGUUUAAGGUCUUGUCUUUAAUUUUAGUUAAAUCAAUUUAAUUAGUACUAAUAAUUACUUAAUUUGAAUCAUUUUAAAUAAAAUUUAUCAAUUGAUCAUUCUAUUAAGGAUGAAUACAUUAAUUGAAAUUGUAAGUGAACUUAUCAAUUCAUCUUUAUUUUAGUUAAAAAAAAAUUAAUUUAGUUAUUACUAAUAAUGACUUAUUUUGAAUCGUUUCAAAUAAAAUUGGUCGAUUGAUCACUCUCCUCGAGACGAAUACACAUAGUUGAUCAUGCAAUUAUUAUGAGAUUAAUUGAAAUUGUAAGUGAACUUAUCAAUUCAUCUUUAAUUUUAGUUAUAUCAAUUUAGUUAUUACGAACAAUAGCUUAAUUUGAUUCAUUUCAAAUAAAAUUGGUCAAUUGAUCACUCUAAUCAUGACAAAUACACCUAGUUGAUAAUUUUAUUACUAUGAGAUUAAUUGAAAUUGUAAGUUUAUCUUUAAUUUUAGUUAAAUCAAUUUAGUUAUUACUAAUAAUAUCUUAAUCUGAAUUAUUUCAAAUAAAAUUGGUCAAUUUAUCACUCUAUUCGGGACGAAUACACUUAGUUAAUCAUGUAAUUACGAUGAGAUUAAUUGAAAUUGUUAGUGAACUCAUUAAUUCAUGUUUAAUUUUAGUUAAAUCAACAUAGUUAUUACUAAUAAUGGCUUAAUUUGAAUCAUUUAAAAUAAAAUUGGUCAAUUAAUUAUUCUACUAAGGAUGAAACACUUAAUUGAUCAUUUAAUUACUGAGAUUAAUUGAAAUCAUAAUUAAACUUACUAAUUCAUCUUUAAUUUUAGUUAAACAAAUGUAGUUAUUUCUAAUAAUGAUUUAAUUUGAAUUAUUUCACAUAAAAUUUGUCAAUUAAUCAUUCUACUCAGUACGAAACACUUAAUUGAUCAUGUAAUUACUAUGAAAUUAAUUGAAAUCAUAAUUGAACUUAAUAAUUCAUCUUUAGUUUUAGUUAAAUCAAUAUAGUUAUUUGUAGUGAUGACUUAGUCUGAAUCAUUUCAAAUAAAAUUGGUCAAUUGACCACUCUACUCAGGACGAACAUACUUAGUUGAUUGUGUAAUUAUAAUGAGAUUAAUUGAAACUGUAAUUGGACUUAUUAAUUCAUAUUUUAUUUUAGUAAUGAAUUUAGUUAUUACUUAUAAUGACUUAAUGUGAAUCAACAGAUGACUAACAUGUUACAACAGAUGAGUAAUCUGUUGGAAAUGACCAAACAAAUAAAAAAAAUUUGUUGAAAAUGACUAAACAGAUAUAGACAUUUGCUGCAACAAAUGACUUACUUGUUGCAACAACUAAUUCAUCUAUUGAAAAUUAUUAAACAGAUAUAAACAUCUGUUGCAACAGAUGACUAAGUUAUUGUAACAUAUGAUUCAUCUGUUAGAAAUUACUAAACAGACAAAAUAUGUGUUGAAAAAUAAUUUAAAAUACUAAAGCUCAAAUGUUUUUUAGGAAAACUCAAAUGUUUUUCCCCUUGUCUAUGGUCUUGUCUUCACUUUCAGUUAAAUUAAUUUAAUUAUUAUUAAUAAUUGCUUACUUUGAAUCAACAAAUGACUAACCUGUUAUAAACAUUUAUUGCAACAGAUGACUAACUUGUUGCAACAAAUAGGUGAUCUGUUGGAAAAUAAUUAAAAUACUAGAGAACUUAAACAUUUUUAGGAGAACUCAAAUGUUUGUUCCAUUGUAUUAAAGACUUGUCUUUAAUUUUAGCUAAAUCAAUUUAGUUAUUACUAUAAUUGCUUAAUUUGAAUCAACAGAUGACUAACACGUUGCAACAAAUGAUUCAUCUGUUGUAAAUUAUCAAAUAGAUAGAAAAUCUAUUAUAAAAGAUGGGUUAUCCAUUAGAAAACAAUUAAAAUAUUAGGGAACUUAAAUGUUUUUAGGAGAAAUCAAAGUUUGUCCCCUCGAUCCUAUUGCAUUUGAUGUAUGAUACACUAUUUUUUUCUUCUUUACCUGUUUCAUGAAAUUUUUUCAUGUGUUUCACUUAUUCGUUGUGCCCUUGUUGAAAUUUUUUAAAAUUUUUUAGGUCAAAUUUUGUUCGUAUAUCACUUGGACAUUACUUCAUAGGUGAUUUUGUAAGUAUAAUUAUGAUUUUUGUUGAAUUUUUUAUUUGGUAUAUUUGCUAUUGCUACAAUGGAUAGAACCUGCAACAUGAAUCCAAUAUAUGAGUCAUUUAUUGUAACAAGUGAGUAAUGUGUUGCAGCAUAUGACUAAUUUGUUGCAACAGAUGACCCAUAUGUUGGAUUCAUGUUACAACACUAUAAUACAAAUCCAGCAGAUGAGUAAUCUGUUGCAAAAGAUUAGUCAUAUAUGUUGCAACAGAUUAGUCAAUAUGUUACAACAGAUUAGUUAAUAUGUUGCAACAUAUUAGUCAAUAUGUUGCGACAGAUUACUCAUCUGUGCAACAAAUUACUCAUCUGUUGGAUUCACGUUACAUAUUUUAUCUACUGUUGAAAAAACAGCAUUAGCAGAUACACCCAGAUGAGAAAUUCAACUAAAAAUUAUAAUUUUACUUAUUAAAAUCACCUAUAAGUAAUUCCCAAGUGAUAUACGAAUAAAAUUUGACCUAAAAAAUUUGAUCAAGUAGCAAUAAUAGCGGUAACAAUAAUGUUCAACAACAAGAAGAUGAUGAUAAUGAACAAAAAGAGAUGAUAAUGAAGAACAAAAUGAUGAUAAUGAAGAAAAUGAUGAAUAAAGCAACAACAACAAUGAACAACAAAAAUCACGAAGAGAGAGAAAACUCCAAUAAAUAAGAAGAGAGAGAAACGUGCCUUUUUUUUCCUCAUUUCUAGUUAUAUUAGGUUUUAUAUUGGAUCAAAGUGUAAAUUAAAAAACUUAUGAGUUAUUUUUAAAUUUUUCUUACUUUUUUAAUUCUUAAUAAAGUAAUUGUCACCUCCACUUAAUUAUUAAGAUUUGUGACACCCACACUUCAUUUUAAAACUCUUUUGUCACAGCCCAAAGCCCCAACUUACUUCCUUACUAGAAUAUUUUACUCCCUCCUUAUUUGAUGAAAAGAAGAGAGAGCCUCAUUUGAUGCUCAAAUUGCAACAACAAAGUCUUUCAUAUAUUUAUGAGAAAAAAUAUAAUUUAAAUUUUCUUAGUUAGAUGUCCAAACGACCCUUAAUAUAUAAAUGGCCUAAAGAUUGUCCCAAAAUCCCCCUUACACAACUUGGGAAAUCACCUUCCACAUCAAAACGUUUUAAAUAUAUGUGUCUCCAAGUAAAUUUGCCCGCACGAUCUUAAUUAUGUUAUUGAAUUUAGAUAUGAGAUUUUCUAAGUUGGAUGUGUAGCUGUUGACAGCUUUGGACAUUUAGCUACUGCUGCUUCUGCUUGAAGACAAGUAAACACGAUAGUUGGAAGGAGAGGAGAUAUAUGUGCACACAAUCAGAAUGUUUAGAGCUUGUGCAACAGAAGAUGGUCACACAGAUCUAGCAAUUUGGUAACUUUUUGUUAGAACAGAUUAGUCUUUGUUGUAUGUAUAAUAAAGCAACUUCAAACUAAAUUUUUUCCCAAUUCCUAUUCCAUAUGGUCUAAAGAAAAACUUCUAGACACAUCCAGGAAAUGCGAGAGAAUUUAAUGGUUUCAAUAUAUAAGAGGAAAUUGGAUCUCUUUUUCGUGGGUAUAUAUAGGACAAAUACUUAAUGUUGACUCUGAUAUUUCAGGGACAUGAUGUUUACAACCAUGGAGUAAUAAUUGAAUGAGAACUAUUUAAUCUCCACCUCCUUCCACCUUCUUUUUUUUUUUUUUAAACAAAACUUUGAAGUAUCUCUAGACGAUGAAAAAAAGAAGCUAUCCAGAGAAGAUGAGUAAUUGAGUAUUUUUUUUUUUGGUUAAAAGGGGGGCAAUUCAUUAACAGCUUAGCCAAGGUCAACACGAGUAUCAGUGGGUAGAGCUACUGCUCCACUCGAAGUAUUGGGGGGUGGGGGGUUAGAUGAGUUAGCAUGAGCCACAUUCUGGCCAUGUAGGUCCAAAAUAGAAGGAUUAAUUAGCCUAGCAAAAACUUUUCCUUCCUUGUCCGCUUCUACGAAAGGUACUGCAGAAGCCGGUGGGCUUGACAAAAUAAUUGGCACGCCAAGUUGCAUGAGUUUGCUGCCUUCCUUAGCCAACCUGUCCGCGACUCUAUUUUGUUCCCUAAAGGUAUGGUUGAUUCUUGUUGCCUCGAGUACCUGCAGGAGGGACCUGCUCUCAAAAAUCAGGUUAGUAUAAAGUUCGUGGCCACGGGUAAUAGCGCUGACAAGCUCCUUUGAGUCAGUACAAAUGAUGAGAGGUUUGAUACACAUUGUACUAGCAAUCCUCAGUCCUCUAAGCAGUGCCUUGAUCUCAGCAUGCAGGGGGGUCGAAUGAGAGGUGCAUUCCAUGUAUCCAACAACCUACUCCCUUUGUGGUCUCUAAUAACAUGUUUCCAGUCAACAGGAUUCAUUUUAUUGUUAAAAAGGUUGUCAUUUCUAGUGAGCCAAAUGGUCCAUAAUAGUUGGGGUAGCAGAUGGUCCCAAGUAAUAUGCACAUUAUACUGGACAUUAUGUAAGUGUUUCCAGGCCUUAAGGGCCUGGUUGACAGUAAAGUAGUUUCCUAUGGAGAUGUGAUGCAUUUGGCUUGAUUGAUUAUGUUGUUCCAGCAGUGGAGGCAUUGGUGCAAGUCAAGAAGAUAUGGUCAAUAUCCUCACACGAAUGUCUGCACAAAGAGCAUGAGGAGUUAUUGGUUAUGCCAAGUCUGUGCAAGUAGUAUUUGGUCUGUAGCCUGCCAUGGGCAAGUAGCAAAAUGAAAGUCUUGAUCUUAUUGGGAGCUGGCAACUUCCAGAUCCAAGGGAAAUCAAAGGGAGGCUGGGCAUUCCCUUUUUCAGCAAUGGAGGUGUAGACACUAUUAGUAGUGAAUCUUCCAUUAGGGGUUGUACUCCAGUACAUAAUGUCCUCUUUGGUGGGGUUGGAGUGAGCUAGAGUGUCCUCCAUGUAUUGGAGGAUAGCCGGAGGGAGUUCGAAGGAUAUGCUGGAGAGAUUCCAGCCUCCAUCAGUUAGCAAGGUGCCAACAGUGAUGUUAUCCCCAUUAUGAGGAAGAGGGCCUUCUAUGAGUUCUCUUAAGGGUGGUUUAUGAGGGAUCCAUCUAUCCAAGAAGAGCUUGGCCUUAUCACCCUUGUUCAUAUGCUAUCCAAGACUUUUGGUGCAUUGGUUCCAUCCUUGUUGAAUGUUUCUCCAGGUGCUAGACACCACUCUAUUAGCCGAGUGACCCCUGGGGGGUCUCUGAUAUUUAGAGGUGAGGAUUUUCCCCCAUAGGGAGGUAGGAUUUUUGACUAACCUCCAAGCCAAGCUUGCAUGGAGUGCCCUGUUUCUGAUCUCAGUUUUGUGAAAACCAAGUCCCUCUUUGGUCUUAGGCUUGGUGAUAGUAUCCCAACUGAGUAAGUGCAAUUUCUUUUUCUCAUCCUCAGUUCCCUAGAUAAAAUCUCUUUGCAUUUUAUCCAUGGAACUAGUGACUUUCCUAGGGAUUUUUAUGUAUUGCAUGAGGUAGGUGCGCAUGCUGCUAAGGGUAGCCUUAGCCAGAAUAGUCCUACCAGUCAUGUUGAGUUGAGCAGUUUGGUUUUCCAACCAAAAAGUUUGUUAGCCAUGCAGUCAAUAAUAGAUUGGAAAUCAGCAUUAGUGGGGGCUUUGUGGAAGAUAGGGAAGCCCAAGUAGUUGCCAAACUCAGGUUUCCUAUCUAUGCCCAGAAUGGUAGAGCAAGUGGUAGCAUUGUGGUUGGUGGUGUUAGAAGAUAAGAGGACUCUAGACUUAGCUUUAUUUAUUUUCUGUCCAGAGAGAGAGCUGAAUUGGUCUAGGGUAGACAGAAUGAUGUUGCAGUUGGCUAGCUCUAGCAAAUAGGGUGAGGUCAUCUGCAAAAAAUAGAUGGGAGAUUUUUGGACCAUCUAUAGUGAUGGAGAUAGGGGUCCAGUCCUUUUUUGUGACAUGAAGGUCUAUGGUUCUAGCUAGUCUCUCUAUGCAAAUGAUAAAGAGGUAGGGGGAAAUGGGGUCGCCUUGUCUGAACCCCCUGGUAGGGGUGAAGUGGGUAGCAGGGCUCCCAUUGACAAGGAUGGAGAGAGAGUUAGUGGUGACACAGGACAUGGUGAGUCUAGUGAUCUUGUUAGGGAAAUUGAAGAAGUGGAGAGAGUCAUGAAUGAACGACCACUCUAGCCUAUCAAAGGCUUUUUCAAGAUCAAUUUUGAGGAUCAUAUUAUGGUGUUUGCCACGCAUUUUCCUAAAAUAUGAGAUGUAUUCCUGAACAAUGAUGGCAUUGUCUGCAACUGUUCUGUUGGCUAGGAAACUGGCCUGGGAGGGGCCAAUGAUGGUCCCCAGGAUAGGCUUGAUUCUAUUGACAAUAAUCUUAGUGAUGAGCUUAUAGGAAGUGUUGCAAAGGCUAAUGGGCCUGAAGUCAAUCAUUGAAGAUGCAUCGGGGCAUUUAGGGAUAAGGCAGAUAAGGGUUUUGUUUAUCUCUUCCGGGAUAGUGUAGUCCUGGAAGACCUUGUGACAAAAGGCUGCUGAUUUAUCACCUACAAUGUCCCAAUAUUUCUGAUAGAAGAGGGGGUGGAGGCCAUCAGGCCCAGGAGCUUUGAGAGGUUUAAAGCUCUUGAGAGCAAUGGUGAUCUCAGAGUCUCUAAGAGGGUGUUCAAGGUUCUUCUUUUGAGCUGAGGUAAGGAUGCGGGUAGUCUCUCCAGUUUGGUUCCUGUGGAGGCCAAUGGAGGUAUGGUCAGAGGUAUAGAGCUUGUGGUAGAAGGUGGAUAUGUGAUUCGUAAUACCAUCUUUAUCAGGGAUGAUGCUACCUACCUCAUCCUUAAGAAAAUGGAUCUUUUUCCUCUUCCUUCUUACCAUGGUUGAAGUGUGGAAGAAUUUGGUGUUAGCAUCACCACAUGUGAGCCAGUUAAUAUGGGAUCUGACCAUCCAAAAGUCCUCCUCUGACUGUAAGAGCCUGUUGUAAUCGGAGAAAAGGUCGUUUUCCAGGUCAUGGAGGUAUGGGCUGGUGUGGUAAUGAGCAGACUUUUGGAUGCCAUCUAGCCUAGCUAAAAUCCUUUUAAUUUUGUGAAAGAUGUUUCCAAAUGUGUCUCUACUCCAGAUGGAGGCCUCCUGCCGGAAGAGUUGGAUAGAAUGGGUAAGGGAGGUGUGUUCAUGAAAGGAUUGUCUAAUGAUAUUUUGAAGUGUAUGGUGCGAGCACCACAUGGGCUCAAAUCUAAAAGGCUUAUUGGGGGAGGUAGGGGAGGGAUUGGUAAGAGUGAGGAGCAUAGGGCAGUUGUCUGACCUUGUUCGAGGCAGGUGUGUGACAGAUGCCUCCGGGAAUUGAUUUAUCCUCGAGGUAUUAGCAACACACCUAUCAAGUCUCUCAAGGAUAAGGUUCCUCCUAUGCUUAUACCUCUUAUUGUUCCAGGUGUAUUUGCAACCUUUAAACCCUAGAUCUAUCAUCCCACAGUUAUCAAGACACUCUUUAAAAAAAGAGGAUCUAUUAUUGUUAAUACUUAGGCCACCAAGUUUUUUUUUGGCCAAGAGAACUUCAUUGAAGUCUCCUCCCAUUAGCCAUGGGCCUGAAUGCGUCUGGGCCAUGAGCUUAAGCUCUUCCUAGAGGCCUUGCCUAAUAAGGAAGUUAGGGCUAGCGUAGAUGGCAGAGAAAAGCCAAGAGGAGGGGUUUGGGAGAUGGGUUACCUUGAGAAUGACGUGAAUGCCCUGGGCUGUGACCGUAAAGUUGUCAAGCUGGAUGCGAUCUGGGUGCCACAUGAGGACGAUUCCAGUGAGACCAACAACAGGAGAUUGAACAUGGGCUUCAAAGCCCAUAGUAGUAGUGAGGUGCUUGUGCUCCGACAUCUUAGUCUCGAGAAGGACAAGCAUAGCAGGGCGGUGAAGCUUGAGCAUUGCGUCGCACUGACGCCUGAAGUUAGAACUGUUGGCUCUUUUAGUGUUCCAAAUCAUCACAUUCAUUGGGGUGGUGAGUGGGGGGGGCGGUAUGUAUGACUGGGUCCUUCCCCUUGUCCAGUUGGGGGUGGUCCAGAACUAUGAUGAUUGGUUUUAGUAGCAUUGCUGGGGGGGGGGGGGGGGGGGGGGUCCUCAGAGAUAGCGAGAAUAGCUUCUUCUCCAGAGGGAGAUACACCAUAAUAGCUGAGCUAAAUGGCUCGUUGAAUUCUUUCGUUAGUGGCUUGUCUAGGGCUAAGAUGUCUAGAGUUGGCUCCCCGAACAUUGCCAGAAAGUUUUCUAGCUCCUCGUUGCUCUGUCUGAGAGAGUCCAGGAGAGUUGAGCUUGUGCUUCCUGGGCCUUCUGCCCCUGAUGUUGGGGGCACUGGGGCAUCUGACUCUAGAGGUUUGGGGAUGAAAGUAAGUGCCUGGGAGGNNNNNNNNNNNNNNNNNNNNNNNNNNNNNNNNNNNNNNNNNNNNNNNNNNNNNNNNNNNNNNNNNUCUGGUGGAGUCAGGUUCCCGGCUUUGGAAAAAAAAGUUUUGAGCAUUGUUUGCUGCCAUAGUUGGUUCCCCAUUUCCAUCACCGCUUGGUCCAGGGCUUUCUUGGUUAUUUGGGCUAGGUAUGCCGGGUCCUGGAGUAUUAGAGUGAUGUUCUUCUCUCUCACCUUUGCCUGAAAUUGCAGAUGGACUCCUUGAAGUGCAAGUUCCAUCCAAGAGGUCGAAGUUGUGUUUGGCGCAGGUGGUGUUGAGAUGAAGAUUGAGGGCGUCGUGCUGCUUUCCAAGUUCGGGUCCAUUGGGAGAGGUUUGGAAAAGGCAAGUAGUAGAUUUGGAAAAGGUGUGAGUAGCUUCCUCCGACCAUUCUUUCAAGGUGGCAUUAGUAGUAGUAAUAUUAGGGUAGUUAAUUGAAGUGACCUCAUCGGUCACUUCAAAUGUUUUGCUCUCAUUAUUGCUUAGGGCAAUGGCGAAGGGAUUGCUUAGGGGUUUUCCAAUAACUGUAGAAACGGAUGGAGUUUUCAAUGUGAAGGUAGGGGCAGGUCUGUGAGGAGGGGUGGCAUAGAGGCCCCAUCGCAUUUAAUCAACGCGUCAGUUCCCAGUGGAAUAAAUUUAUUGAAGGUAAUAAAUUCAGAGGGUAUAUUGGUUGGGGCAUUCUCAUUAGGGUGCAUGUGUGGCACCGGAGUGGGCCUAUUGUUGGGGCCUUCUUUUUGGGCUUAUUUUGAGGGGCCCUGCCAUCAUGAUGGGGAGUUGGGCCACAAUCCAAGAUUUGAUUUGGGCCACUCAGGUUUUGGGCUGAAGCAGGGUCAGUGAACAUACCUGUGGUUUUGUCAUAGACCCUUACCUGUGUUUGGGCCUGGGCCUUAGUGUUGCUGACCCGUUCUGGGCUUCUCUUCAAGGGCGUCCUCCUUUUUGGAAAGGAGACGACCCGCCAUUGGCCAUCCGUAGGAAGCUGUAUAGUUUCACUGGUGGAUGGGGUGCCGGUGCAGAUUGGUGUCGUGGUGGUAGGGCAUUCCCCGUGAGUAUGUCCCAACAUGCCGUAGUUGGUACACAAGAUCUUCUCCCCUUCGUAAAUCACCAUUUGUCUAUGAGUGCCAAUGGUAAUGUGGGAUUUAAGUGAGUGCUCUAAUGGUACCUGUACACAAAUGCGUGCAUAGCGUCCACGCAGCGCAGUGGAGGUGCAGGUGUCGAUCUUGAGUAAGGCACCAAGUUUCCUUCCGAUCUUCUCGAGAAUCUGCUGGUCGUAGAACUCGGUUGGUAGUUGUGGUAGACGUGCCCAAAUUGCAGUGUGGGUGAGGCUCGCUUCCUGGGGGACGAAAUUGGGCUCCCAUUUCCGAAUGGUAAGGAAGUUUCCUGUGAUGAACCAUGACCCUUCAUUCAGGACUCGUUCCAUGCUUUUAAUUAGGGAGAAUUUGGCAAUGAAGUAGUCAUUCCCCAGAUCAAUGAGGAUUAAGUUCUCACCCAGUUUCCACAGGUCAGUGAGUUUAUUUCUAAGGUAGGCAUGUGACAAUCGUUUCUUGUAGAGUUUAAUGAUUACUGAUAGACUCUAUGGUUGAUAGAUCCUUUGUUUUUCUUGGUCGGUUAGUUCGAUUGCAUCUUCAUCGUUCUCUUCCUUUUCCAAUGGGAGCCCGUCAUAGAUGUUGUAGGAACGGUUGAUUUCUUUUUCCUUAUUGAGAAAGACGUCCUUGAAGGAGGAGUAGGCUGGGCUUUCAAUUUCCAUGCUGGAUUCUCGAGGGUCGGGAGGUUCUGGUGGGAUCGUGGUAGUUAUCUGCGGUGUGUUAGGUAUACUCAUGGGGUUGGUUUAGUAAUUGAGUAUUAUUAAAACAGAUAUAUCGCUGUUUGAUUCAGUCGGCAGACUCGACACCAGUGGAAAUGUUGCCCACCCGCCUAUAAUUGACUAAUUAUCAAUGUCCAUUAUUUUCAAUUCUUUUGUAACUUGGAGUUGGUGUGGUGAAGUGCUGUUCUCAAUCUUUUUGCUCUAACAGCAGAAAGAACUACGAGUAAUAUUCAUUAUAAAAUUCCCUUUGUAGGUAGAAGAGGUAGUGCAUGUUACACAUCUUAUUGGAGAGGGAUGAAUGAAAUGGAAACUUGUUUCUGUUGUUUGUUUGAUAAGAAUAUAUCAUCAAGACUUAAAAGGAAUGUUUUAUAAAGUGGUGGUAAGAUGAGGCAUGUUAGUGGAGUGUUGGCCGAUCACGAAUUACAUGUUCAGAAAAUAAAAGUAGCGAAAUGAGGAUGUUGAGAUACAUGUGUGGAAAUACUAGGAGAGAGAAGAUCAAAAAUGAAGUUUUGCGACAUAAGGUGGGAGUAGCUUUCGUGGUGGACAAAAUGGGGAGGCGAUGUUGAGAUGAUUUGAACACAUAAAGGGAAGAUGCACAUAUUGCUAGUGAAGAGGUGUGAGAGGUUGGUUGUAGUCGGCCGGCAUAAAGAAGAGUAGGGGUAAGCUGAAGAAGUUUUGAAGCGAGGUGAUUAGACAGGACAUGAUACAUGCAGAUUACUGAGGACGUGUAUGUCCUUAGAUAGGAAGAUGUGGACAUGAAAGAUUAGGGUAGAAGGUUAGUAGGUAGCUGACUAUUGUCGAAUUCCCUUGUCAAUAUGGCAUUAUUACUCUCCUAACUAUUAUAUUUUUCAAUUUUAGUAUCACCUGUUGUUUUGAUUGCUUCAGUUAUCGUAUUAUGUGUUCCCCUGGUGCUUUAUUUCAUUGUUUUAUAGUAUCCCAUAAAUUUCUUAAAUAAAUAUAAAAUUUGUACAAAAAUUAAUGAAUUCAACCAAACUCGUAAUCUUUACUCUAGCUCCACCCUCGCUAGGAAGGAGAUAAAGGUUUGCCACUCAUUAGAAAUGACAAACAGCCACAAUUAUUGGAAUCCAGAACCAAAGUUUGCAACAUGACUUCUUGGGGAUAACCAAAACAACUACAGAAAAGAGUUAAAGGAACCUCAAAAACCACGUUAGUUGCUUUGGUUCUUGUCUGACUCAUUCACUUCACCAUUUUGCUGCGGAGUGACAGAUGUAGUCAUCAAAUCAAAACCCAACUUUUGCUUUGUGAUUUCAUCAAGAACCUCAAUCAUUUCUUUUGAAAGAUGGUUCUUGAAAUCGCCCAUUUUGCCUCGCCGGAAAUAUAUGUUGUUUGCAAUAGUAGGACUAAACGCUCCAGAGUAUGUGCCCUCUUUAUUCACCUCCAAAUUGCUCAGUUUCUCAAAGCUGCAGAGCUCUAUUAUUCUCUCUACAAUGCCUUCACUUUCUUCCUCCAACGAAAAUGGCUGCCCCAAGAACUCUGCUAUUCUCUUUGCAUUAAAGAUUGGAUCUUUCUUCAAAUCCUCAUACUUCAAGAAAAGAACCCUCUCUGGAAAUUCUAAGCUGGCUUUAUAAUAUCCCAUCACAUGAUCCCAAAAUGGACCAAAAGGGGAAUACCCUAUAGUAAAUUGGUCAAAUGCUUCUGGUAGAGAAUUGAAAGGCACGUCUUUGGGUCUUAAUUUCUGCAUAAAGUACCAGAAAGAAACCAACACAUCUUUUGCAUUGCGAAACACAAACUAUUUUGCAUUUGGAGUCAUUACCUGUUAUAGACUUUGGUAAAGCAUUGAAGGCAAGAUGUGAUUGUAUGAGACAAGUGUUUGGUGUUGGAUUUGUUGGGUGCUUAAAUGCAUAGGCCUCUAGAUAGGGUACUAAUUCAUGUGGGUUUGAAAAGAGCAAAGGAUGCGUGCUAAAAUUGUCGUAUUGUGAUCUGUUUGUAAUGGCAAAAAGAAGGGCCUUGAGCCAUGUGGUGCCAGAUUUUGGGUGACUGGCUAGUAAGACACUGUUUGGUUUUGGCUCAAAGUGUUGCUGCUGAAGUACUAGCAGACCUUCUAGACUUUUUGUCCAAUACCAAAUACCUUUGUAUUGGUGAAUCUGAUCACUUAGCCAACCUCUUUCACUUGGAAGCUCAGAGAGUAUUUUAUCAACGGAUUCUUGGUGAUUUUUAUGGCUUUGUUCUUUGGUGGCAAGUGGCAACAUUUGUGAGUAAGGGGGAGUUCUGGGUAGAGAAGAAGUUUGCCAUUUGAGUUGAUGCUCAAAAGUAGCCGAAACUCUUGCUGCAUUUAUAAGACUUUUGAGCUUCGUUAGGUAGUUGGUCAGGAGCUAAGUUAUUUAUUGUUUAGCAGUUAGUUGAGAAACUUAGCUGUUCAUUGUUAAUUACUUACUUAUUUGUUGUUAAUUCCGGUAGUUAUCAGUAGAAUUAGUUAGUAAGCUAAGCCAAGUUUUGGUCUCUAUAUACUAUUACAUUGAUUUUUUUCUUUUUUUUUGGUUAGACUAUUACAUUUACAUAUACUAUUACAUUGCUUUACUGUCGAUGUUUACAUAUCUAAAAUGACAAUCUGAAAAAAGUUUUCACAACUUUUUCAUCUUUUCUCCUUUUCCUUUCUGCAUGUCUGGAUCAAGCGCAGAGGUGCUCUGAAUUAGUGAAGUUUACAUGUAUGUAUAAAAUCCCGUGUAAAUAAUAUCAUGAUUGAUAACAUUUAAUUCUUGUUCAUGUCUCAAAAUUCACUCAACUAUGAGAAAUGGAGAAAAAACGUCAUUUUCCUCUGAACAACUUACUUUGGUACUGUAACUAAACUUUCAUCUAUUUUCUCUCCUUAACAUCUUUUAAUCUUUUAAGUGUAUUAGUUUCACUUAUCACUCACACAGCGGAGAGUGCACUACACUCGCGCCAUGUCAUUGCCACAUCAGUGCCAUGUCGCUGCCACGUAAAAAGUUACCAUUGUUUUUUUAAAAAUCCUCACAUAAUAUAUCUAUAAUCUAUAUCUAUAAUCUAUAUCUAUAAUCUAUAAUAUACUAAAAAUGUGAAGACCCUUCAAAAAGUGAUUUAAACUUUUUGUACUUCAUUAAAAGACUUUCUUUAGACAAAACUGUCUUUUCACUAUUUCUUUAAAUUUAUUAUUUAAUUAUUUUUAUUAUAUUAACUAGGCUUCUUAAAAUAUAUGAGACUCAUAAAAUAUAUGAUAGAAGAAUCAAUUAAUAUUUUUCUUUUUCUACUAGAAUUCUUAAAAUAUAUAGGACUGCUAAAAUAUAUGGUAGGGGAAUUAAUUACUAAUAUUUUUUUUCUACUGUUCAAUUAGAAAAAUAUUCCUAAAAUAGGAUUCUAUUAAGGAAAUACUACGAUAAAUAUUGAAAUGUACGUUAUACUAGAAAACAAACCGGUUUGCCUAUUGGAGAAUAUGAUUGAUGUUCAUCUAACUUAAUUCAAUUGCAUGUCUAAAUUGGUGGAUAUUUGAUGUUCUAAUCCUCAAUUUCUUCACUGUUUUUGUCAGCAUAAUAUAAUUCGAAUGUGUGUGUAUAUAUAUAUAUAUAUUCUUUGUUUUAAUUCAAAAUCAUCUGCUAGGGUCAAAAUUUUCGCUCAGACAAAAAUUAGUUGGAUCAAAAUCGAAAUUUUGUGAUCACAAUUAUUUUUUUUUUAUAGUUUACAGGUCGUGAAUGAAUGUCAGUUGGACUUGAAGAAUUUCUUGUGUAAAGGUCAGGUUUAAUUGUAUUGUUUUGAUAUCUUUAUUAUCUUAUUGUUUUAUUUUAACUGUUAGAUGAAUGUGGGUCGACUUUGAAAUUUUUUGUAGGUAAAAGUUAGGUUUAAUUGUAUUAUCGUAAUAUCUCUAUUAGUUUGUUAUUUUGUGGUAGUUUACAGUUUGUAGAUGAAUCUCGAUCGGCUUUAAAAAAAAUUUGUGUGUAAAAUUUAAGUUUAAUUGUAUUGUUUUGAUAUCACUUUUAUCGUAUUAUUUUGUUGUAGUUUACAAGUGAUACAUAAAUGUUGGUCAGCUAUGAGGAAUUUUUUAAUGUAAAGUUUAGGUUUAGUUGUAUUAUUUUGAUAUCUCUAUUAUCUUAUUAUUUUGUUAUUGUUUACAAGUGGUAGAUGAGUGUCAGACGACUUUGAGAAAAUUUUUGUGUGUAAAGAUUCGAUUUAAUUGUAUUAUUUUGAUGUCUCUAUCAUUGUAUUGUUUUGUUGCAAUUUACAGAUGGUAGAUGAAUGCCGAUCGAUUAUUAAAAUAUUUUUUUUGUAAAGAUUAAGUUUAAUAAAUAAAUUCUCCAUCUUUACAUAUUCAAAAGAUAUUAAAUUUAAUUAUUAUAUUCAUCUUUAUUAUUUAAACAAAUAUCCUAUUUAGUGUAAUGUUUUAACUCAUUAAAGUGAAGUACACGCGCAAGAUGCGUACACCUAAACUAGUAUAUAUAUAUAUAUAAAUACCAAAAAAUACACUCCACCCCAUUUUUCUUUCUUCAUCAAACCCAUCCACCCGCACCCCGCGUGCCCCUUUUUCUUUCUUCUUCCCAGCCCCCACCCCACUCCCGCAAACACAAAAAAUACUCACCACCCCCUUUUCUUUCUUCUUCAAGACCACCCCAACCCCUCUCCCUGCAAUUCAAUUGAUGACAAUGGCCAUGGAUUUACAGUCUUGAUAAUUUUUUGCUAUGUAAAACAACAAAUUUGUUAUAAAUUUUUCUUUUUCUCAAUAAUCAAUUGAAAAAGUGUAUUAAAAUUUAUAAAUCUUUUUCUAUAUUUAUUUCUUUUUUGAACAAAUUGAUGAAGCGUAAUAGAGGUAGAGGUGGAGGGUGGGGGUUGGAGAUGCGGGUGUAAGAGAAAAAAAAUAGAAAAAUGGAGUGUGAGGUGCGGGGUUGGGGUGGGGUUGUCUGAAAACUUUUUGUGCUUAAAAGAGGGUGGGGAGUAGGGAUAAUCAUCUACUAUUUCUAGAUAAAUUAAUCGAGUAUUUUUUGAAAAAUUUGAUAAUUCAUCGAAUAUUUCUCGAAUUGAUGUUAUUUCUCGAAUAAUUACUUUACUUUGCUCCGGCCAUCAUUAGAAAUCAUUAUGAUUGAAUUUUAUAAUAAUCCCAUCGAAAAAAUGAUGUGGCUGUUAUAAAACAAUAAAGAACUAAGAAUAUUAACAUUACUAUUUUAAUAUCACUUGAAUUGAUGGAUAGUUCCUCAUUUUCUUGAGUCUCAGGCUCAGUAAUUCCUUCAGGAAUAUUAACAUUGUUCAAAUCUUGAACUUCCAUGUGAGGAUCUUUCGUAGAGUCAUCUUGACCAUUUGUUUUUCUUUUUCUAGGAUUUCGAUUCUUAGAACCUAAUGGUCUGCCACGCUUCAAGCGUGCUUUAUAUUCAUUAGCUAUGACACUAGUGGAUGGUUCUUUAGGGACAUCAAUUCGAAUUGGGACAUUCUCUGCAGGAAUAUGUGAUUUGGUGAUCCUUUUCAAAUCAGUAAAUGCAUUCGGCAUUUGAUUUGAAAUUUUCUGCAGAUGAAUAAUCUUUUGUACUUCUUGCUCACAAAUAAAAACACGUGGAUCAAGAUUAGAUAGUGAUGGAUUUUUUCACGAAAUUUCUCUUGUGAUGUUACUAUCUUCUCUCCCUAAUUUUGGGAAAACCACCUCAUCAAAUCGACAAUCUGCAAAUCGAGCAGUGAACAUAUCUUUUGUUAAUGGUUCAAGAUAGCGAAUAAUGGAGGGUGAUCCAAACCCAACAUAAAUUUCUAACCUUCUUUGGGGGCCCAUCUUGGUACGAUUUGGUGGUGCUAUAGGUACAUAUACACAGCACCCAAAAAUUUUCAAAUGAGAUAUAUUAGGAUUUUGAUCCAAAAUCAAUUGUAACGGAGAAAAUUUAUGAUAUUUUGUUGAUCUAAGACGAACAAGUGAUGCAACAUGCAAAAUUGCAUGACCCCAAACAGAAGCGGGCAACUUAAUUUUCAUAAGCAAUGGUUUUGCUAUCAACUGCAGACAUUUAAUUAAUGACUCGGCAAGGCCAUUUUGAGUGUGAAUAUGAGGUACAAGAUGUUCCACUCUUCUUAUCGCAAUCGAUAAGCAAUAGUCAUUAAAUGCUUGGGAUGAAAAUUCUAUAGCAUUAUCAAGGCAAAUAAACUUAAUUUGAUUAUCGAGAAACUGUGACCCUAAUCGUAUUAUUUGUGCCAAUAAUUUUGCAAAUUUCAAGUUGCGAGAUGACAAAAGGCACACAUGAGACCAUCUAGUGGAAGCAUCUAUUAGGACCAUAAAGUAUCUAAAAGAUUCACUAUGUGGGUGAAUGAGUCCACAAAUAUCCCCAUGUAUGCGUUCCAAGAACGCGGGGGACUUAAUCCCAACUUUUGUUGGCGAUGACCUCACAAUCAGCUUGCCUUGAUAACAAGCAUUGCAUGAAAAUUCACCAUUCGAAAGAACCUUCACGUUCUUUAAUGGAUGCCCAUUUGAAUUUUCUAUGAUUCGUCUCAUCAUUAUAGAUCCAGGAUGUCCCAAACGAUCAUGCCAAAGUACGAAAGUAUUGGAAUUAGUAAACUUCCGAUUUACUAUAGAAUGUGCCUCAAUUGCACAAAUCUUUGUCCAAUACAGGCCAGAAGAUAAAGCCGAGAAUUUUUCAAUAACACAUGUCUGCCCAGAGACAUUCUUGGUGAUACCAAGAUAUUCAAGAUUCAUCUCAUCAAUUGUCUUGAUAUGAUAACCAUUUUCACGGAUAUCUUUAAAACUCAUCAAGUUUCUCCGAGACUUAGGAGAAAACAUAAUAUUAUUUAUGAUGAGUUUAGUUCUCUUGGGCAAGAUUAUAAUGGUUUUUCUGAAGUAUUCAAUCAAAUUAGCACUACCAGAAAUUGUAGUAACAUUAAUCUUGCCCAUGUUUAGAUGAGAGAAUAUUUCUCGUGUUUGAAUAUCAUAUGUGUAGUGCCAGAAAUCAAACAAAUAUCUUCACAAUUGUACAACUUACUUUGAAAAUUAUCCAUAUCUUCAAAUAAAAUAACAUACACCAAAUAAAUAUAUAUUAAAUCUUUGUACAAAAUGAGCUUAUAAUAUAAGAAAUUGUUAAUCACACUUUAAUAAGCAAUAAAAAAAAUACUCCCUCCGUUUAAAAAAGAAUGAUCUACUUUAACUUGGUACAAAAUUUAAGAAAAUAAAGAAGAUUUUUGAAUUUUGUGGUUUAAAUUAAAGUUGUGUCAAAUGUACCAAAAUGUCAUUUAAUCUUGUGAUCCUAAACAUGUCAUGUGGAAAGUUGAAAUUAACAUAUUGCCAAAAAAGAAAAGAGGUCAUUUUUUUUUAAACGGACUAAAAAGAAAAGUAGAUCAUUCUUUUUGAAACAGAGAGAGUAUGUCCAUUUAGUAUGUGAUUAGCUUAGCUUAGCAUUUUAUUUUUCAAUAGCUUUAAUAGUUUACUAAGGAAAAAAAUGCAUUUUGUUCAGAACGUUAACAUGUAAACAAUAUGAUAUUAUUAUAUUACUAGAGGUGCAUGGCCCAUGUCAGCACGGGCCCAACACUAUAAAUAUUUUUUAGCACUAAAAUUUGAUAUUGAUGAGAUACAAAUAUAAAUAUACAUUUUUUUUAAUUAAAUAUUAUUGAUUCUGAUAUAUAAAUGACUUAUAAUAAUUAAUUAGAGGUAAUAUAGUAAAAAAUAUUAUUAAUUCUAAUGCGUAAAUAACUUAUAAUAAUUAAUUAGGGGUAAUAUAGUAAAUCACUGAGCAAUUAGGGGUAAUAUAGGCAGACAUGUCAUCUAUUUUUUUAAUUAAAUANNNNNNNNNNNNNNNNNNNNNNNNNNNNNNNNNNNNNNNNNNNNNNNNNNNNNNNNNNNNNNNNNNNNNNNNNNNNNNNNNNNNNNNNNNNNNNNNNNNNNNNNNNNNNNNNNNNNNNNNNNNNNNNNNNNNNNNNNNNNNNNNNNNNNNNNNNNNNNNNNNNNNNNNNNNNNNNNNNNNNNNNNNNNNNNNNNNNNNNNNNNNNNNNNNNNNNNNNNNNNNNNNNNNNNNNNNNNNNNNNNNNNNNNNNNNNNNNNNNNNNNNNNNNNNNNNNNNNNNNNNNNNNNNNNNNNNNNNNNNNNNNNNNNNNNNNNNNNNNNNNNNNNNNNNNNNNNNNNNNNNNNNNNNNNNNNNNNNNNNNNNNNNNNNNNNNNNNNNNNNNNNNNNNNNNNNNNNNNNNNNNNNNNNNNNNNNNNNNNNNNNNNNNNNNNNNNNNNNNNNNNNNNNNNNNNNNNNNNNNNNNNNNNNNNNNNNNNNNNNNNNNNNNNNNNNNNNNNNNNNNNNNNNNNNNNNNNNNNNNNNNNNNNNNNNNNNNNNNNNNNNNNNNNNNNNNNNNNNNNNNNNNNNNNNNNNNNNNNNNNNNNNNNNNNNNNNNNNNNNNNNNNNNNNNNNNNNNNNNNNNNNNNNNNNNNNNNNNNNNNNNNNNNNNNNNNNNNNNNNNNNNNNNNNNNNNNNNNNNNNNNNNNNNNNNNNNNNNNNNNNNNNNNNNNNNNNNNNNNNNNNNNNNNNNNNNNNNNNNNNNNNNNNNNNNNNNNNNNNNNNNNNNNNNNNNNNNNNNNNNNNNNNNNNNNNNNNNNNNNNNNNNNNNNNNNNNNNNNNNNNNNNNNNNNNNNNNNNNNNNNNNNNNNNNNNNNNNNNNNNNNNNNNNNNNNNNNNNNNNNNNNNNNNNNNNNNNNNNNNNNNNNNNNNNNNNNNNNNNNNNNNNNNNNNNNNNNNNNNNNNNNNNNNNNNNNNNNNNNNNNNNNNNNNNNNNNNNNNNNNNNNNNNNNNNNNNNNNNNNNNNNNNNNNNNNNNNNNNNNNNNNNNNNNNNNNNNNNNNNNNNNNNNNNNNNNNNNNNNNNNNNNNNNNNNNNNNNNNNNNNNNNNNNNNNNNNNNNNNNNNNNNNNNNNNNNNNNNNNNNNNNNNNNNNNNNNNNNNNNNAUAAAUGACUUAUAAUAAUUAAUUAGGGAUGAUAUAGUAAAAUCAUGGUUAAAGCAGCUGAAACAAACAUUAUAAAUAUCUAUUUUUUUAAUUAAAUAUUAUUAAUUUUCUAUAAAUGACUUAUAAUAAUUAAUUAGGGAUAACAUAAUAAAAAUAUUAUUAAUUUUAAUAUAUAAAUGACUUGUAAUAAUUACUUAGGAAUAAUAUAAUAAAUCACGAAAUAAAUAGGGUGUAAUAUAGUAAAUAAUGGGGAUACUAAAAUAAAUCCACGAAGAGGUGGUCGAAAUCACCUCUUCUAUAUAAUAGAAAAAAAAAGAAAUAUUUGAUGAAGAAUGAAAUAAUAUUAUUAUAAUUCAAUAGUAUGGAACAUAAAGAAUACAAUAAAAGAAAUAAAGGGCUUAGGCGGGUCCUUGGUUGCUAGCCAACAAUCACUUUUUUUUUUCAGGUUACAAUUUGCUUUCCAUUACAAUAGACAUAUUCACAGAUUACAAUUUGCUUUCAAUUGUAUCGUGUUUUUUUUCUUCUUUUUUUCAAUAAAUAAUGACCAAAUUAAAGUUUGAUUUAACUCAAUUAUAAACAACAAUAAUAUAAUUAAACUAAUCAAUACUAAUCAAAAACUAAUAUUCAUGCAAAUAACUACUUUUACAUGAUUCUUUAUUCACUAACUCUUAUCAAUAAAAAUAAAACAAAAUUAAAUAUCAUUCAUUCUUCCAUGUUUACGAAACCAUCACCAAUCAAGUGAUCAAUCUUUUCUUCGGGAUGCUCAAAAAAAUUUGUUACAUCCAAACUUGUGAUGUCAACAGCAUUUUCAGAGAGAAAGUUAGCCUCGGGAUUUCUCUCUUUCAUCUUUAGUGAUGCUUGAGAAAGAUCAACCAAGUGCUUGAGAGCACGGCAGUCACAUGAAUAAUGUCCUUUUCCACCACAUCGGAAACAAGUAAUUGCUUCACGUAUCUCAUCUUUUUUCUUUUUGUUCGAUGAAUGAUUAACACCCGGAACAGGGUUUCUUUCUUAGUCAUCACGACCACAACCACGACUACGUCCACGACCAGGACAACGGUCUUUUCUACGCCUAGCAUGGUGAACAUGUACAUCAUUCACCUCAGGAAGUGGUGCAGAUCCAGUAGGUCGAUUCUCGUGAUUUUUCAUCAACAAAUCAUUAUUUUGUUCAGUCACGAGAAGAUGAGAACUCAUUUCAGUAUACUUCUUCAAACCUUUUUCUCGAUAUUGUCGUUGUAAUAGCACAUUCGAGGCAUGAAAAGUGGAGAGCGUCUUUUCCAUCAUAUCAUUAUCAUUGAUUGUCUCUCCACAUAGUUUCAAUUGAGAAGAAAUUCUGACAUGGCAAAAUUGUACUCAUGAACAGACUUAUAGUCUUGAAAUCUCAGAUGUAUCCAUUCAUAUCGUGCUUUUGGGAGGAUGAUCAUCUUUAAGUGGUCAAAUCUUUCUUUUAGGCUAUUCUACAAUAUGAGUGGAUCCUUAAUAGUAAGGUAUUCAAUUUUCAGAAUUUCGUCAAGAUGAUAAUGCAAAAAAAUCAUAGCCUUAACACAAUUUUGACUAGAUGUUGUAUUUUCAUUCUUUAUGGUGUCUCCAAGACCCAUAGCAUCUAGGUGAAUUUCAGCAUCCAACGCCCAUGAAAUAUAGUUCUUGCCUGAACUUUAAAGGGCAACGAACUCACACUUCGUAAGAUUGUUAGCCAUAUGGAAAAAGGGAAGAAAAUAAAAAAUAAUACCUUAGCCUUAGCCUUCAAAUUUGAGACGGUAGAGUCUCGUGCUGAUAAUGUGUUAUAAAACAAUAAAGAACUAAGAAGAAGAGUAGAGAGAAUAAUUGUUAUUUCUCUCUUAGGGAUGAUUUACAAUGAAGGAAACCCUUCUAUUUAUAGGGAAAAUUUGCUCCUAAUUUCACACUAAAAGACAGAUAUAUCAAAUUCUGAUAGACAUCAAAUAGAUCUUGAUAGACAUUCACUAUAAUUGAUAUAUAUCAUAACAGUGACAACCUUAAUUAGUUCUUAAUUUUAAUUUAAGAGAAUAUAAUAUAUUAGCCAUAUCUUGACCCUUUUUAUAUGUGUCCAACCCGAUUUUCCUUAUGGAUUAUAUAAUGGAAGAAUAUCAAUUUCUCAAUAGAUUAGGUUAUCUUGUGAAGACCAUUUUUAUAAAAAAAUUUGAUUGAUAUUUUUAUGAAAUAAAAUUAUAUUUAUAUAUUCUUAAAAUCUUCUAAAGUUGAGACAUGUGUUGGUAAAUUAUUUUUUUCCUCUAAUAUUAUGGCAUGUAGUUGAUAAAAUUAUUUUUCUCCCUAUAAAAAUGUGACAUUUAAUUGAGAAAAUUAUUUUUUUCAUACAUAUCUUUCUUGCCACUUGAGCUUUCACAUUCGGUAUAUCAUAAUAAUAUGAUAAACUAUUCUAUUUAUUGAGUUUGUCUUUAUAUUUUUAAUUGUUUGACUAAUCGAUUAAUACUCUUAAAAGUUUUUUUUAUAAUAUUUAGUUUCUGAUAAAUUACAUAUUAUUUAAUUAAUUCAAUUGAUAAAUAUAAAAAUUGAAUAUCUUAUAAUUUUUUUUAUGUAUUAAAGUACUUAUAUUUUAUAACUUUUAUUAACACAACUAUUAAUAUAACAUUAUUUGUAAAAAAUUUGACAAUGCUUAUUUAAUAACACAAUUAAAAAUAUAUUAUUUUAAAACUAUCUUUUAGCAUGUUGAUUAAUCUUUAAAGAAUUACAAUAAUUUUUUUAAAAAAUAAUAUCAUAUAUUUAUUUCUAUUUUAUGUGUUUUGAAGAAUUUAUCUUAUUUAUCACUCUUUUUCACUACAUCUUUUUUGCAGAUAGAUGCAAUAUUAUGAAAUGUUUCAUAAAAAUAGCAACCAAUUUUUUUUUUUUAUGAAAAUAGUAUUCAUUAGUUAGUCUAAUCUAUUAAAAAAUUGAUAUUCUUUCAUUAAAUAAUUCAAAAGGAAAAUUGAAUUGUGCAAAUAUAAAAAGGGGUCAAGAUAUGAGUAAUAUAUUAUAUAUUUACUUAUAUUAAAAUUAAGAAUUAAUUAAGGCUGUUACAUUAUUUUUACGAUGAAAUUAUUGUAAAAUUCGUGAUGAUAUGAUGGUCGAAGAAAAGUUAAAUGACUUUUGUAUAAUGAACGAAAGAAAAAUAAUUUUUGCCAGACACAAAAUUAGUAUUUCAACUGCAAAAAUUGUGCCCGUACACCGGAUGAAAUAUUAAAAAUUAAAAUGAGUUCAAGAAUCAUGUGCAACAGGAAAUGUUGACUUUUAAAUUCUGAAUGAAUUGGUCCAAAAUUGUCGAAGAAACUACAAAUUGCAGCCAACCAUGGAGUGCUAAUUGAAUGAAGAACUAUUUAGGGCAUGUGUGGAUAGGCUGGAAAAAAAAAAAGGCUUUUAAAAGGUAUUUUUGAAAGUACUGAAUUUGUUUUAAAAAUAAGAAGUUAUGUAUUUGUAUAAAAAUGCUGAAACUGAAAAAAGAUUAUUGAUGUAUAUGGUAAAUAAAUGUUUUUAAAUAUUUUUUUUGUCAAAAUGUCUGAAAUACUCUUAAAGCUAUUAAGGAUAUGUAGAGUUGAUUAUUGUUAACUUUUAUUUCUAAAAUGAUUCAGAUUAAUCACUUGUAAACGUUCCCUUAGUUUCAUCAUGUAUUUGGUCAUAGUAUUUAGGAAACAUAUUUCACUUGUAAACGUUUCCAAAAAAUGAAAUUUGAUUCAAAUACUAUUUUUUUCUAGUAUUUGAGAAUUUGAAUUAUUUGUCAAAAAUAGUUACCAAAUAAUGACAAAUUAUAAGGCCAAACAUUAUUUGUCAAUUUUUUUCUAAAAAAUUACUUAAAAAUUUUAUGAUCAAUCGGGUUCUAAACAUCAAUUAAUAGAGAUAGUAAGGUAAAAUAAUCAUAUAAUAAUUAUUUUUUAAUAAGUGUAUCAUGUCAAAAAGUGAUAGGUUAAAGCCAAAUGGAAGAAAUAUUAUUUUGUCAUGAUAUUUUCUAAUGCUAAGAAAAUCUGAUAACAAGUAUUCACACAAGUUCCUCUUUUAAAAAAAAAAUAAAAAUUGAGGGAUAAAAAUAUCUUCUUUUUUAAAAAGUAAAAAAAUAAAAAAUUUAAAAAAUUGAGGGAUAAAAUUAUCUAUUAUUUUCCAUUUUUUUUUUAACUUGGAGUUGGUGAAGUGCUGUUCUCAAUCCGUUUUGUAAGUGGAAGAGGUAGUGCAUGUUACACAUCGUACUCGAGAGGGGUGAAUGAAACGGAACCUCGUUUCUAUUGUUUUGUAUGUGUGAUAAGUUAAAAGCCUAAAAGUCAUGUUUUGUAAAGUGAUGGUUAAAUGAGACAUGUUAGUGGAGUGUUGGCCGAUCACGAAUUACAUGUUCAGAAAAUAAAAGUAGCGAAACAAAGAUGUUGAGAUGGAUGUGUGCAAAUACUAGGAGAGAGAAGAUCAAAAACGAAGUUAUGCGACAUAAGGUGGGAGUAGCUUUCGUGGUGGACAAAAUGGGGAGGCGAGGUUUGAGUGUUUGGACACAUAAAGAGAAGAUGCACAUAUUCCUAGUGAAGAGGCGUGAGAAGUUGGUUGUAGUGGGCUAGUGUAAAGAAGGGUAGAGAUAAGCUGAAGAAGUUUUGAAGCGAGAUGAGUAGACAGGACAUGACACUUCCAGAUUACUGAGGACAUAUCCUUAGGUAGGAAGAUGUGGAGAUCGAAGAUUAUGGUAGAAGGUUAGUAGGUAGUUGAGUAUUUUCGAGUUCCCUUAUCAGUAUGGCAUUAUUACUCUUCUAACUAGUAGUAUUAUAUUUUUCAAUUACCUGUUGUUUUUAUUGCUUCAGUUAUCAUAAUAUGUUUUCCCCUAGUGCUUUAUUUCAUUGUUUUAUGUUUAUCCUAUAAAUUUCUUACAACAAAUAUGAAAUUUGAACAAAAAUUAAUGAAUUCAACCAAACAUGUAAUCUUUACUCUAGCUCCACCCCCGCUAGGAAGGAGAUAAAGGUUUGCCACGCAUUAGAAAUUACAAACAUGACUUACAGGGGAUUACCAAAACAACUACCGAAAAGAGUUGAAGGAACCUCAAAAACCAUGUUAGUUGCUUUGGUUCUUGUCUGACUUAUUUACUUCACCAUUUUGCUGCGGGGUGACAGAUGUAGUCAUCAAAUCAAAACCCAACUUUUGCUUUGUGAUAUCAUCAAGAACCUCAAUCAUUUCCUUUGAAAGAUGGUUCUUGAAAUCCCCCACUUUGCCUUGCCGAAAAUAUAUGUUGUUUGCACUAGUAGGACCAAACGGUCCAGAGUAUGUGCCCUCUUUAUUCACCUCCAAAUUACUCAGUUUCUCAAAGCUGCAGAGCUCUAUUAGUCUCUCUACAAUGCCUUCACUUUCUUCCUCCAACGAAAAUGGCUGCCCCAAGAACUCUGCUAUUCUCUUUGCAUUAAAGAUUGGAUCUUUCUUCAAAUCCUCAUACUUCAAGAAAAGAACCCUCUCUGGAAAUUCUAAGCUGGCUUUAUAAUAUCCCAUCACAUGAUCCCAAAAUGGACCAAAAGGGAAUAACCUUUAGUAAAUUGGUCAAAUGCUUCUGAUAGAGAACUGAUAGGCGUGUCUUUGGGUCUUAAUUUCUGCAUAAAGUACCAGAAAGAAACCAACACAUCUUUUGCAUCGCGAAACACAGACUAUUUUGCAUUUGGAGUCAUCACCUGUUAUAGACUCUGGCAAAGCAUUGAAGACAAGAUGUGAUUGUAUGAGACAAGUGUUUGGUGUUGGAUUUGUUGGGUGCAUAAAUGCAUAGGCCUCUAGAUGGGGUACUAACUCAUGUGGGUUUGAAGAGAGCAGAGGGUGUGUGCUAUAAUAGUCGUAUUGUGAUCUGUUUGUAAUGGCAAAAAGAAGGGCCUUGAGCCAUGUGGUGCCAGACUUUGGGUAACUGGCUAGUAAGACACUAUUUGGUUUUGGUUCAAAUUGAUGCUGCUCAAGUACUAGCAAACCUUGUAGAACAUUUGUCGAAUACCAAGUACCUUUGUAUUGGUAAAUCUGAUCAUUUAGCCAGCCUCUUUCACUAGGAAGAUCAACGGAUUCUUGGUGAUUUUCAUGGUUUUGUUCUUUGGUGGCAACAUUUGUGUGUGAGGAGGAGUUUUGGGUAGAGAAGAAGUUUGCCAUUUGAGUUAAUGAGCAAAAGAAUAGAAACUCUUGCUACAUUUAUAAGACCACUUAAGUUUGUAUCUAUUAUGUAAAAGUCAUUUUUCUUUUAUUCAUUAUAAUAAAGUUAUUUUACUUUGCUCCUGUCACAACCCGAACCGAGGCCCUGGCCGUGACGGGCAAUCCCGAGCCGUGAUGGCCCGAGCGCCCCUUUUUCAACAGGCAAUCAUAAACAUGUCCAUACAAUAUUAAGGGAAAAUGAGAAAAAAAAAUGGAUUUGUACGGAAACAUGGCCAAUAAUAUCACACUACCGAAAAAUCAAAAGAGUUCAACAACUCAUCAGCAUCAUCUAACAUCUGUCUGCAAAAUCUCUAGUACAUCAAAUCCAGAUAUCACAAUCGAAAACUGGGACAAGGCCCCCAGUAGACCCAAAUCUAAAUAAAUAACAAAUGUCUGAAAAGGUCUGGCCCCACCAACUGCACACUGCUAACUGAUGGUUCUACUGCUUAACAAUACCUUUUGACUGAGCCUCAGACCCUGAGAAGGUAGGGGGUCAAUACAAUUGUACUGGUAUGCAAAGUAAUCCAAAAAUAAAAUACAACUUUUAUGUAACAUAUGUGAGAGCCAUCUUAAAACACUUAAAUGAAAAAUCGUUUGAAAACACAUGGGCAUAGUAUGAUGAUUUAUCAAUAAUAAUGCAGCACUACUGAGCUAGGUGGGACACCCUACAAUUUCAUAUUUUCACCAACUGCCAAACCUCGGUUGUCACUAAGAUUGAAAUAUUAGUGAGGGGAGGACGCACAAGAUCACACAGCAGGGUGCCAUAACCCAAAUCAAUUCAAUAUGUUGUGGUUGGGCUCAAGAUCACAAAGUAGGGCUCCUAACCAUUGGUCCCAAUUUGGGAUGACAUAGUACUAGGUACACAAGAUCAAAUAGCAGGGUACCAAGUUCCCGUGUCGGCAAAUCACGGUUUCCAGAAUAGAGUUAUUUGACUCGUGAUUUCUUCGGGUAACCACCUAACUCACAUCAAUUUAAGCUGUACGCUUGAUUUAAGACAGAACAUGCAUCAUACUCACAACGUUCUUUCCUUCUUUUCAUUCGAGGCAACUCCUCUGCGGGGUAUCAUCAUAUCCCGACUUGCAAGUCAUCAGUACCACAUCAAUUCUCAAAACCUCUUAUGCAAAUCAUAAUAUGAACACACAUAAAACUUCCACACAUCAAACACAUGCAUAAAGAUUCCUAUCACGUAAUAGUCAAGAAACUUCAUCAUUUGUAAAGUAGUACAGUGGGGCUUAUAAAACUCAUGCUCUCAAUAGUUUAAUACGAGUAUCAUGUGGGGUACAAAAACAUUAUCAUGGGGAAAUUUAAGAAUUUACAUUUCAUAUUCAUCACAUCCUUUGAAAUUCAAAUCACAUGUCCACAAAUUCAACAAUUUAGGUAUAUAAGCAAACACCCCAUGAUCUUUCAAUAUCCCUUUCAAAAUCAUAUCACGAAGAAUGUUGUUGGUAUUAAAACGAAACCCCACUUAUAAUAUCAUACAUACUUAUGUGAAUAUUAAAAAUCUUGUUUAAAUUCGUAUCAAAAUCAUGCCCAUGAGAUUUAGGACAACCACACAUACUUUAAAUUAGGAACCUUGAAUGAACAGUUAUUUUUCGGGACUCUAUUCGCAACUUUGAACGGAUGUUCUUGAUGCUCUUAGUUUGGGGAUUCCGAUUCUAGAAUCAAUUUAAAAAACUAAUGGUGAAAUCUUGAGUAGUAUUGAUCUUUGGGUUAAAACCCUAGGAGUUCUUGGUGAAUUUUGAGGAAAAUAUCAAUAAUGUGGUGUUUUGGGAGUAUAAUCCCGUGUUUAAGAUGAACAAGGGGUUGAAAAUACCCAAUAUACCCUUAAUGAUUUGGGUUGAAAAGCUGAAAUUAGCCCAGCGCGAUUGGCAAGGCCCCGCGGGGGAUAACCCGCUGGAUUAGGCAGGGCACCACCUUACCUAUCGCCUUGCCCUUCCCAGGUGAGGCAAUCCGCAGGGCACCGCGGGCUAAUCUAAUACAAGUCAAAUGGCCUCCUUAGCUUUCGGUGAUAUCCUUCAAAGUCUCUAUGUGAAGAAUCAAGCUUUGGUCGUAUGGAGGGCACGGGAUCAUGCUUGGAGGGGUCGUUAUGAGCAUGCCAUUGGACAAACCCGAGAGUGGAAGAUUGCUUGGACCCUUGAAGACUUGAGGACUCUGGGGUUGGACCACACUUUGUUGGUUCACGAUUUUGGAUCCCUUCAUUAAGGGCAUUAUGUUCACUUAGCCUUAAAGGCAUUUUGGUCAAUUCAUAGUGUUUUUCAACACACCAAGGCCACCCCUUGGUCAUUAAGGGUGGCUUAGUCAUUUUGCCAUGUAAUAGGCUAGGCUAUAUAUAGUCUCUUUUAGGUCUUUUCUUACUAGUUUUUGAAUGAUGAAUAUGUAAAAGACUUCUUCUCUCUUUGAGAGUGUAACAUCCUUAGUGUAGGGCUUGGAUAAGCAAUUAGUGUAGGGCUUGGAAAAGCCUUUAUUGAUCUUUGCUUAGAAACAAUGGUUGUAAGGUGGAGUUGAUUCCCUUAGCGGUCACCGUAAGAACUUGGUACUUAUUAACUUGUUUUGUAGAGGUUUUAGAGUUUUGAUACACUCUUUAGUUGCUACCUAAUGGGUUCUCUUUGUGUCAAGUUAGCUAUUUUUUACUCUUUUUAAGUUUAUGUUUGCUUCUCGUAUCGUGUUGUUGUUUUGUUGUUGCAGGUAAAGGCUUGUGAUUGUGGGUUGUUUGCGGACUAUUUUAGUGUUGUAGAUACCGUUUGAUAUCAUAAUCGCCUCGGCUCACUGUUUCGCAACCCCAAACGUGCCCUUAAGCUCGUCUAAAAAUUUCAAAACUCCCCCGAGAUGUACUUUCGACUCGCCCCAUCUCAUAUCAACAAAAAAAUUAGCAAACGAAGGUCGAAAAGGUCAUAAAAUAAAUUCUCAAAGAUUUGGAGCUCAAAAUGAGACUAAGGCUCCAUUUGUUUUUUUAAAGAUUCAGACGUCUGAAUCUGAAUGCACAUCUAAAUGAUUAAGAUGUUGUCUCUAGAUCUGAAAACUGAAUGAUUAAGACUGUUUGUUUUUCAACAUCUGAAUAUGUAAAAAAAUUUAUUUGUAUACAUAAAAAAAUAAAAAAUAAAAUUCAAAUAAAAAAUUAAUUAUCUAUUAAAAAAGUAUGUAAUUUAAUACAAUAAAAUUAUUAGUAUUUGAUUGAGAAAAAACAUUUAUGUUUAUUAGUGAUAGUGGAGAUGACUAAUAAUUGUGGUUGCGGUGACAAUGAUUAAUAUUGUUGGUGAUAAUUGUGAUGGUUGGUAUUGUAGUGACUGUUAUGAUGGUGGCGAUUGAUGGUGGUGGUGGUUAUUGUGAUGUGACGUUGCUUGAUAUUAGUAAUUUAAGGUGUUGAUUGUGUUGACUGAAACAUGAAUGCAUGAUGAUUGACGAUGUGUUGGUGCUAGUUGGAGAUUUUAUUUGUUGUGAUGUGAAGAUGGUUGUUAGUAGAGAUAAAUUGUAGCGAUGAUACUAAUUGAGUAGUGGUAGAGGUGGAAUUACUAGUGACAAUGCUGGUGGCGGUCAAAGAAUGUGUAGAGGUUGUGAUGUAUUAGUGGUGGUGCUAGUUGUGAUAAAUGAGUUGGUUGGUAUAGGGAUUGACCGCUAGUGGUUGCUGAUUGUGUUGUUGUUGAAGGCAGUGGUGGUGGUGAAUAUAAUUAGAAUAAAAGAGGUAGUAAGUGUGGUAGCGGUUGACAAUUGUGGUUGGUAGAGGUAUUUUUUAUCGAUGGUGGUUGGGAUGGUAUUUUUUACAAUAAUCCCACCGAAAAACUGAUGUGACAACUUUAAUUAGUUCUUAAUUUUAAUUUUGAAGAAUAUAAUAUAUUACUCAUAUCUUGAUUCUUUUUAUGUGUGCCCAACCUAAUUUUUCUUUUGAAUUAUAUAACGGAAGAAUACCAAUUUCUUAAUAGAUCAGGCUAUUUAAUGAAGUUUAUUUUCAUAAAAAAAAUUGAUUGAUAUUUUUAUGAAACAUUUCAUAAUAUUGCAUUCAUAUGCCAGAGAGGUACAUCGAAAAAGAGUAAUAAACAAGAUAAAUUCUUCAAAACACAUAAAAUAGAAAUACAUAUAUAAUAAUAUUUUUGUAAGUUAUUUUAAUUCCUUAAAGAUAAAAUCAUUAUGCUAAAGAUAGUUUUAAAAUAAAACCUUUUUGAUUUUGUCAUCGAAUAAGUAUUGUAAAAAUUUAUACAAAUAAUAUUAUUGACAAUUGUGUUAAUAAAAGUCAUAAAAUAUAAGUAAUGUAAUGUAUAAAAUAUUUAUCAAUUGAAUUAAUUAAAUAAUAUAAAAUUUAUCAGAACUGAAUAUUAUAAUGAAAACUUUUUAAAAAAUUAACCGAUUAGUCAAACAAUUAAAAACACAAUGACAAACUCAAUAAAUAGAGUAGUUUAUUAUAUUAUUAUGAUAUACAGAAUGCUAAGGCCCAAGUAACAAGAAAUGUAUGAAAAAAAUAAUUUUAUCAACUACAUAUCACAAUUUUAGAGAGAGAAAAGUAAUUUUAUCAACAAUAUGUCACAAUUUUAGUGGGAGAAAGGUAAUUUUAUUAACUAUAUGUCACAAUUUUAGAUGAGAAAAGUAAUUUACCAACUACAUGUCACAAUUUUAGAGGAUUUUAAAAAAACUAAAAUUACCAUAAUCAUAUCAAUUACAUGUCAUAAUUUUAGAGGAGAAAAAUAAAAUUACCAUAAUCAUAUCAAUUACAUUUCAUAAUUUUAGAGGAGAAAAAUAAUUUACCAACACAUAAAUUUUAGAGGAUUUGAAGAAAAUCAAAACUAUCAUAGUGUCAUUGUGAGGACUAUCAAAUUUUGAUAGCCUCCCUUAUAUAUAAGUAUAAUUUUAGUUUCAUAAAAAUGUCAACCAAUUUUUUUUUAAUUAAAACGGACUUCACUAGGUAGCCUAAUCUAUCAAGAAAUUGGUAUUCUUUCAUUAUAUAAUCCAUAAGAAAAAUCGGGUUGGGCACAUAUAAAAAGAAUCAAGAUAUGAGUAAUAUAUUAUAUUCGCUGAAAUUAAAAUUAAGAACUAAUUAAGGUUGCCAUAUCAUUUUUUCGGUGGGAUUAUUGUAAAAUCCGGCCAUAGUGACUUUUAUGAUGGCCGGAGCAAAGUAAAAUGACUUUUAUGUAAUGACCGAAAGAAAAAUGACUUUUGUGCAAUAGGCUCAAAGUUAAGUGACCAUGGAUGAAAUUUACUCUAAGACUAAGAGGUUCGUUUGGUAGUUAGUCAGGAGUUAAGUUGUUUAUUAUUGAGCAGUUAGUUGCCCUCACACAUGCCGUAGUUGUCCAGCCGAAACUUAGCUGUUCAUUGUUAAUUACUUGCUUAUUUGUUGUUAAUUUCGGUAGUUAGCAGUGUUGAGAUAUAGUAUUAACCAUGGAGUUUGUGUUAUAGUAUUGUAUUUUCAUCCCAUGUAAAGACUAUUUAUUUUAUUAAUAAAAUCUUUAUUUGAAUAAAUCAUUGUGUUAACAUGUGUGUCCUUCACUUAUAUAGUAAACAAUUUUGUGUAUGGAGUAUUUUAACUCAUGCAUGGAAGAUUAAAAUUGUCGGUUCUUAUAAGUAAUAAAUUAAUAUUCACAAUCAAAGAUGAGGUAGGACAAACAUCUUGAUGAUUGUAGCACAGUAUUAAAUAUAAUUUGAUCUUAAUUAUGGGAGUAAUAAUAUUCCAACUUCUUGUGCAAGUACAUCUCGUAUGUAUUGAACGGACCAAUUAGAGAUAUUCCUUUAUGUUCUGAAUAUUAAUAAACGAUUUCUCUAGACCAUUACAUGUACUUAUAUUCUUAAUCUUGAUAUAAUUAUUAUGAUCUAUGUGGUUUGUUUUAUCGUUUUAAUCUAUUAAAAGGUGAGACUCUUUUAUGAGUCAACAUAUUCCUGAUAGGUUGGAUGAUGACAAAUCACUUAGUGAAAUAUCAAUUAGUUGAUAGAACCAUGUCUCGAACUUGAGAUAGAAGACACCCCUUUAUGGUUGCUUAUAAGUUUUCACAUAAAAACCCUGCAGGUGGAUUUUGUAUCUGUCAUGUGAAAUAAGUUAAGCAUUAUAAAUAAAGGAUUAAAUUAAUCAAUGAGUUAAAUUUUUCAGAGAAUUUAAUUUAAUUGAUUGGUGUCGGUAAUUCUAACAUGGGGAGUUAAGUAAGAUGUAAUAGUAGAUUUUAAAAUUAAACCGAGGAGUAUAAUUACAAAAUUUUAGUGGAAUAAUUUGUAAUUUAUUGUGAUAUGGUAAUUCGUUUAUUUGCGAAUUAAUAUCAUAAUUGGAAGCCCCACUUAAUAAAUCUGUGGUCCCUACUAUACUUGAUUAACUAAUCAAUUUUGGAAAAGAGAAAGAACUUACUAGAAAAAAGUAAUAUUACUUACUGGUCUUCUACAAGAAAAAGAAAUCUUCUAUUUUUAAAAAUAAAAAAAAAAUCUUUUGAAAAAUUAAAGAGGCAGAAAACAUUUUGACAAUUGAAAAGCCAUAUACUGUUGCCUCUUGGAUCCCUCGUUAUGUAAAAUAUGAAUAAAUAAUUAAAAAGCCAUAAACUUUGCCUCUUAACUCCCUCUUUAUGUAAAGCAAGAAUAAACAAUUGAAAUGUAAGAAGUUUUUGUUGUCUUAUUUUUUUUGUUGGCUUUCCCCUAAUAUGAAUAUAUAGGGGUUUUGGCUAAGAAGAAAUAUACUAUUUUCCUGGACAUAUUCUCUUUGAAUUCAAAAGUAUUUGCCCACACAAGUUUGAUAACAAAAGUCAGUAGGAUAUAGUAGAAGACUGUAGCCCUGAAGGUAAAAACAAUGAAUAAAUUGUGUGAAAGCUUUAGCAGGUAAGUAGCUUUUUAAUUUCGUUUGAUAAUUUAUGUUGUCUAAAUUAUAUGUAAGUUAUUGAUCCUGUAGAAUUGUUGCUUCCGUUGUGCAUGAUCUAACAAUUGGUAUCAAAGCUCUUCUUAUAUAUGCUAGAUAAUGUAAAAGAAAUUACAUGAUUUGUUGUACAUAUUUCGGAUAAUAAUUGUAUAAAUCAUGUUGUUGGCUGCUUUUCAUGUUUUUGAUAUCAUGUUCUUGCUGGCUAUUGUUCAUAUUUUUUUGAUGAUAUUAUUGAUUCAAAAAAAAUUGAAGUUUCUCAUCAAGAAAGCAUAAAACGAAUUUUGCAUAGUUUAGAGGAAAUUAGUUUUAUAGCUUAAAAGCAAAACGAUGAUGAGUCUCGACCACGACCAACUAUAGUCGUUACUCACUGAAUGGACAGUAGCAGUAACGCCAAGAAGUGCAGGCAUCCUUGUUGUCCCUCGCAACAGCUCGGCCAAUAAUUACCGAUUUGGUCGAUUUUGGAGUUUUUUCAGUUUUUGACGAACUCCGAAUGACUUAAAAUUUGUUACGUUUAUUGAAAAUGAUCCACUGAAUAAUACUCACAGUAUACUGUGUUUCAUGCCGUUUUUGACCAUUCGGGGUUGUUUUGAUGAGGUUUUUUGGUGUUUUUAUAUUUUUGAAAAAAUUAUCUUUUGCAAACCAGUGGUGAUAGGGAUCAUUCUUUAUGAUUUCCAUUGGUUAAUAACAGUAAAUAUUAUGAGUUUACAUGUUGACAUUGGUCAUCUUCCCCAUCAGAUAAACUUGUAUAUUGUAAUACUGUUUUAUAGUUGAGUUUUUGAUAACUUGUAUUAACUUUCCAACUAAGUUGCAUGUUAGCUCAAUGGUACAGAGACUUAUGAAAUGUGAUAUUUAUCUAACUUAAAUCAACAGUUUACUCUCCAAUUGAGUUGGUUCUGUCUUGUUUAAGAGAUGAAAUAUCUGACAUUACAUGUAUAUUUGCUUAAAUGGUUAAGUUUCCCUAACGACUCUAACUAUUUAUGUGGUGGUUAUAUGUGUGAUGUGAUUUUAAGAAUUUUAUUAUUCUGCAACAUGUUUAAUGAUCUUUGUUUAAUUCUAUUAUAUAACAGAUUAACCAUGUUGUCAUUCAAUCCAUUAACCUCUAUCCUGAAUCAAAAUAAACUAGAAGGCCCUAACUGUGUGGACUACUACUGAGAGCUUUAAAUUUGUGCUGUUGAUGAAUGUCCUGUUAAGUCAUAUAAACUAACUGAUAAUGAGAUUAAAGGCUACGAUAAGUGGGUCAAGUCUGAUGAGAUGACAAGAUGCUACAUACUUGCCUCUAUGGCAAAUGUGUUGCAGCAUCAACAUCAGUCCAUGACUGUUGCUUAUGAUAUGCUUGAAUCUCUCAAAGAGAUGUUUGGUGAGCAAAAUUGUGCUGCAAAGCAGACGGCCAUGAAGGCUCUUUUGACCACAAAAAUAGUUGAAGGAAUUUUAGUAAGGAAACAUUCUUAAAAUGAUGAGUUUGUUGAACAAGUUGGAAAUUCUUGGUGCGGUUAUUGAUAAGGAAUCUCAGGUUGAGAUGGUCCUGCGGACUCUGCCAGACAGUUUUCAAUAGUUUUGCUUGAAUUAUAAUAUGAAUAAGAUGGAUUUAUCUCUUGCGAAACUGUUGAAUGAGAUGCAAGCGGCAGAAUCUAUCAUUAAGCAACAAGCUCCUCCUGCGGCGUUCAUGGUUGACAAGCCUUCAGCUUUGACUUCUAAGACGAAAGACGAAAAGGAAAAGAAAAAGAAAAAGAAACCUCGUAAGGUUUCAGGUGCUAAUGGUGGUGUGGCUAAGCCUAAGGGCAAAUGCUAUCAUUGCAAGCAACUGGUCAUUAUAUGAAAUUGUGUCUCGGCUACAUAGCAAAGAUGCAAAAAUAAGGUACAUCUUUUUCAUAUGUCUUUGAAAUGUUUUUAGCGGCUGUUUCUACCCAAUUUUGGGCUAUAGGAAAUAUUUCUAUUUCGUUUAGUAGUUCUAGAUUUUUAAGACUGAAUAAUGUUCUGUAUGUACCUUUUAUAAGAAAGAAUUUGCUUUCAAUUUCAAGAAUAAUGGAUGCUGGUUACAAUGUUUAUUUUGCUAAUAAUUGUGCCAUUAUUAAGUUUAAGAAGCAUUUUAUUUUAUCUGCUCCUAGAAUGCAUAAUUUGUUUGUAUUUUAUGUUUAUGAUAUGCUACAAAAAAUAGAACUAAAUAAUGUUGAUCAAUCACAUAAAAGAAAACGUAUUUCGAAAUUGAGUGAAACAUACUUAUGGCACUUACGUCUAAGUCAUAUUAAUAUAAAUAGGAUCUCAUGUUUGGUUUCUGAUGGACCUUUGAGUUCAUUGAAAGUGGAGGCACUUCCAACUUGUGAAUCUUGUUUAGAAGGUAAACUGACCAAGAGACCAUUUCUUUACAAAGGAAAUAGAGUCGGUAAUAAGUUAGAAUUAAUUCAUACUGAUUUGUGUGGUCCAAUGAAUAUACAAGCAAGAGGCGGUUUUGAGUAUUUUGUGACUUUCACAGAUUAUUACUCGAAAUAUGGAUACAUUUAUUUGUUGCGCCAUAAAUCUGAAUGCUUUAAAAAAUUCAAAGAAUCUAAGAUGGAAAUGGAAAAGAGACAUAACAAACAUAUCCAUAUAUUAAGAUCUGAUCGUGGUGGUGAAUACCUUUCUGCGGAAUUCAUUAAAUACUUCUCAGAAUCCAAAAUUAUAUCUCAAUAUUCUGCUCCGGGAACACCACAAUAAAAUAGUGUGGCAGAAUGCCGAAAUAGAAAUUUUAUGAAAAUGGUUAGAUAAAUGUUAAGUUAUUCAGAUUUGCCCAUUUCUUUUUGGGGUUAUGCAUUAGAAACUGCAAAUUAUAUUCUGAACUUGGUUUCUUCAAAAUCAGUACCUUUAACCCCAUCUGAAUUGUAGAGUGGGCGCAAGCCUAGUCUACGCCAUAUUCGGGUUUGGGGUUGUCCAGCAUAUGUGCUAAAAGGAAAAACUGAUUAGUUAGAAUCUAGGACAGAAGUGUGCGUUUUAUUGGAUAUCCAAAAGGAACAAAAGGCGGUUUAUUUUAUUGUCCUAAGGAAUAGAAGGUAAUUGUUUCGACAAAUGCCAGAUUUCUUGAAUAGGAUUAUUUAAUGAACCACAUUUAUAGAAGUAAAAUUAUUUUACGAGAAUUGAGCAAUAGAAUAACAAAUAAUAAAACAAAAGAAGGAAUUCCAAAAUCCAUUAUUGACAUACUACUGCAUCCACGUAGUGGGAGAAAUGUCAAUAGGCAAGAGGUUGUACAAGAGCAAACACUUGACAUUACACUACCUCAAAGUAGUGGAAGUAACGUCGAGCAGCCUGCAAUUAUGGAGGAAAACGUUCAGGGUAAUGUCGAGGAACCUUUCAUAAUGCAGGAAGACAUUCAAGGUGUUCAAAAUUUAGUUCCCGUAGUAGCAGAUUCUGUAGUGACUAGUUGUCGUAGUGGGAUAAUUAUUAGAAAACCUAUAUGGUUUGCGCUUGGGAGAAUCGUAUGAUAGAAUCCCUGAGGAUCCUAAUACCGAACCUAUUAAUUACACCGAAGCACUACAUGAUAAAGAUGCUAAAAUGUGAAUUGCUGUUAUAAAAUCUAAAAUGAAGUCUAUAUAUUCCAAUCAAGUCUGGGAACUUGUAGAACCACCUAAGGAGUCAAACCCAUUGGUUGUAGAUGGAUCUAUAAGAAAAAGAGAGGUGUGGAUGGGAAAGUACAAACUUUUAAGGCUAGGCUUGUUGCGAAAGGGUUUACUCAAAAAGAAGGAAUUGAUUAUGAGGAAAAAUUUUUGCUGGUAACUAUGCUUAAAUCCAUUAGGAUUAUCUUAUCCAUUGCGGCUCAUUAUGAUUAUGAGAUUUGACAAAUGGAUGUCAAGACGACUUUCCUAAAUGGAAGUCUUGACGAGUGCAUUUAUAUGGCACAACCAGAAGGUUUCAUGAAAAAUGAUAAUGAACAUAAGUUUUGUAAACUUAAAAAAUUCAUUUAUGAUUUGAAACAAGUAUCUAGAGCAUAGAAUACUUAUUUUGAUAAUUCAAUUAAGACUUUUGGUUUUAAUCAAUGUGAAAAUGAAUCGUGCGUUUAUAAAAAAUGGGAUGGAGACAGGAACAUUUUUUAUUUUGUAUGUAGAUGACAUUUUUCUCAUAGGAAAUAAUGUGAGCAUGUUGAAUUCUAUUAAGGAGUGGUUGUCCACGCGUUUUGAUAUGAAGGACUUGGGAGCAGCGGCUCAUAUCCUUUGGAUCAAGCUUAUGCGAGAUCGCAGACAAAGGAUAUUAGACUUAUCUCAAGCACUUUAUAUUGAUACUAUUCUUGCAAGGUUUAGCAUGCAAAAUUCAAAAAGGGGAUUUCUUCCUUUUAGGCAUGGAAUUACUCUAUCAAAAGAUCAGUCGCCCAAAACGACCGAUGAGAUAGAGAGAAUGUGGUCCCUUAUGCUUCUUCUGUAGGGAGCCUUAUGUAUGCUAUGUUGUGCACUAGAUCAGAUAUCUACUUUGUUGUUGGCAUGGUUAGCAGAUUUCAGUCUAAUACUGGGCAAGUACAUUGGACUGUGGUUAAGUAUAUAAUCAGGUUCCUAAAAAGGACUAGGGACUACAUGCUUGUUUUUCACUCCGGGAAUCUUGUACCUAUUGGGUAUACUGAUUCAAAUUUUUAGUUGGAUAGAGAUUCUAGAAAAUCUACCUCAGGAUAUGUGUUUACUUUAGGAGGUGGAGCUAUUAUUUGGAGGAGUAUCAAGCAAUCAUGUGUUGCUGAUUCCACUAUGGAAGCUGAUAUGUAGCUGCCUCUGAGGUGGAAAAAGAGGUUGUUUGGCUCGGUAACUUUCUGAAAGAGCUUGGAGUUGUUCCUUCGGUUCAAACAUCACUACCACUUUAUUGUGACAAUAGUGGUGUAGUUGUAAACUCGAAAGAACCACGAAGCCAUAAAAGAAGUAAGCAUAUUGAAAGAAAAUAUCACUUGAUUCGGGAUAUAACUCAAAGGGGUGAUGUGAGAAUUUUGAAGAUUGAGUCGAAGAACAAUUUGGCAGACCCAUUUACAAAGGGCUUAACCCAGAAGGUUUUUGAUAAGCAUGUGAAAGAAAUGAAUGUUAAAAUUGUUCAUUCAUGGUUAUGAGUCUAAGUGGGAGAUUGUUGGGAUAUACUAUUAACCAUGUAGUUUGUGUUAUAUUAUUAUAUUUUUUCAUCCCAUGUAAAGACUAUUUAUUAUAUUAAUAAAAUCUUUAUUUGAAUAAAUCAUUGUGUUAACAUGUGUGUUCUUCACUUAUAUAGUAGACAAUUUUGUGCAUGGAGUAUUUUAACUCAUGCACGGAAGAUUAAAAUUCUCGGUUCUUAUAAGUAAUAAAUUAAUGUUCACAAUCAAAGAUGAGGUAGGACAAACAUCUUGAUGAUUGUACCACAAGAUUAAAUAUAAUUUGAUCUUAAUUAUGGGAGUAGUAAUAUUCCAACUUCUUGUGCAAGUACAUCUCGUAUGUAUUGAAUGGACCAAUUAGACGUAUUCUUUUAUGUUCUGAAUAUUAAUAAAUGAUUUCUCUAGACCAUUACAUGCACUUAUAUUCUUAAUCUUGAUAUAAUUAUUAUGAUCUAUAUGGUUUGUUUUAUCGUUUUAAUCUAUUAAAAGGUGAGACUCUUUUAUGAGUCAACAUAUUCCUAAUAGGUUGGAUGAUGACAAAUCACUUAGUGAAAUAUUAAUUAGUUGAUAGAACCAUGUCUCAAACUUGCGAUAGAAGACACCCCUUUAUUGUCACGACCCGAACCGGGGCCCUGGCCGUGACGAGUAUUCCAAACCAUGAGGCCCGAAAUACCCCUAUCUGUCUAGUAAUCAUGCACACAAUUCAUAUGAUAAAAGAAAUACGGAAGAUACACAAUAUAACGAAAACAUGAUCAAGAAUCAUGCGAAAGUAAUAAUGGAGAAUAAUGUCCCACAAUCUCUACACAACAUCUCUAUAACAUCUGCGAAAUCUCUACUACAUGACUAAAACAAAUGUCUAUCUGAAAACUGAGACAAGGCCCCCAGUAGACCCAAAACUAAUAAAUGAUAAAUUAAACUGCAGACAUCAGGCCUUCCAAAAUAUAAAAGGCUCACCACUUGAUUCUGCGAUCUGUCGGAAGGAAUCUACUAGUUUUCUGGACCCCUAGACUGUGCCUCCAAACCUGGGAGUGGAGGGGGUCAAUACAAAAGUACUUGUACAAAGAGAAAUCAAAACAGGAAUAUAAUAUUUUUACACAAUAUAGGUGAGAGCCAUUAUGAAGCAGUUUCAUAUCAAAUUAUUUGAAAACACAUGGGCAUAAUGUAAUAGUUUUCAAUACCAAUGUAAUGCGAUUGAGCUAGGUGGAAUACCCUACAAUUGUAAUUCCAUGUCUAUGUGGAAUCCGCCUCUGGUGCUUGGCAGCCAAGCCUCCAAUCCAAGUAGCCGCCAGGAUUUGGAGCCGGUAUACCCCCCAUGUGAGUACACCACAGGGAAUCCCCCCAUGUGAGAUGUUCCAAUUAUUUUAUUAUCCUCCCAUGUAGGAUACAAUAUCAUAUGACCUGCAUCGGCAACUACGGUUCCCAGCGAUGAGCCCUUUCACUCAAACGUCUUCUUCGGGCAUCCACCUUUCUCAUGAAAAUCAAUGCAUUUAAACUUUAUUCAAAUCAAUCACAUGUCAUACUCUGUAGGGUAUCGUCAUACCCGACUUGCAAGUCAUCAGUAUUAUAUCAUUCUCUUCAUUCAAUCAUCAUAUGCAACAUAUUUCAACAUGAACAAAACAACCCUCUCUUUGAAAGUGAAAAACCAUAUCUAAAUCAUGACAUUUUAAAAACAUUUCAUGACAUGCAUUUCAAGAUGAUUUCAAACGAUUCAUAUCAUGUGAAAACUUAAAACAAUAUCAUAUCAAGAGAGGGGUUCCGUGUAAAUCAUGCUCUCAAUUUAUCAUCAUUAUGAAACACAUGCAUAUCCAUAUAUAAUAUAUCAAAUCACAUUGGAAUUAGGCCUAAANNNNNNNNNNNNNNNNNNNNNNNNNNNNNNNNNNNNNNNNNNNNNNNNNNNNNNNNNNNNNNNNNNNNNNNNNNNNNNNNNNNNNNNNNNNNNNNNNNNNNNNNNNNNNNGUACCUCUAUAUGCGAAGAUUAUAGGUGCUUCUUGAAGCCUACGUUCUGGGGAUUCCAAAUAUGCAAUUAUUUUCUAAAACCCCCGGUUGAAUCUUGAGUUGCUUGGGUUUUUAUUUGAAACCCUAGGAGAAUCCUUGAGCACUUUUGAUGAAUGGAGGUGUAUUUUGGGGUCUUUGAAACAGAAUUUCAUGUUUAAGGCUAAGUAAGGGUGGAAAAAGACCAUUUUGCCCCAAAAACGGAGUGUUUAAGUCACUUGAAACCUUUACAUAGGCGCCGCCUAUGCUAUCGCCUAUGCUUUCCAGUGACCCUGUGCGAUUGGUUAGGCGACGCAUAUUACUUUGAAAGGCCAUAACUUCUUGCUCUGGUGCCGGAUUUUAGCGAAAUUGGUAUCGUUGAAAAGGUAACUCGGAAACCUAUCAUUUUACACAUAGUAGGCUUUCUAAUUCGACAUAUACAAAGAGUCAUGGUCGAUAGAAGUUGACACAAAUUAUACUAUCCACUUAAGCUUAAUUGGUUGAAGUAUUUUUUUACUCGUCCUUGAGUCAAAUGACCCCUAAGGUCAAAAUUCAAGCUUGAAUGGAUUCACAUUCUACACAAAUAAUUAACAUGUCGUAUUGGCAUAGGAUUUAUGGCUUCGAAAUUUAUCAACACAUCGGAAUCAUGGUCUAUAUUAUAGCCCAAAAUGUAGGGCGUUACAUUAUCCCUCCCUUAGGAUCAUUCGUCCCCAAGUGAUGAUGCGGGACACAGAUAGACACGAUUUCAAGCAUAAUAAAGGACUAGGAAAGAUAAGAUAGGAAUAGUACCUUCUGUCUCCUUCUCCAUCGAAGUAAAUAAAUUGGGAUAUCUAAUUCUCAUGUCAUCUUCUGAUUCUCAAGUUGCUUCUUCGACUUUCUGAUUCCUCUAUCGUACCUUUACUGAGGCUAUCUCUUUGUUCUUCAUCUUUUGAACUUGGCGAUCUAAAAUUUCAACGGGCUCUUCUUAGUAAGACAAGGAAUCUGUCACUUUGACACCCUCUACUGGCAAUACCAAAGAAUGAUCUCCAAUGCAUUUCUUCAACAUGGAUAAAUGGAAUACCGGAUGAACGGAACCCAAACUUGCAGGCAAUUUUAGCUCAUAAGCAACUGCACCAAUCUUUCUCAGAAUCUAAUAUGGCCCUAUAUAGCGAGGGCUCAAUUUACCCCUUUUUCCAAACCGCAUAACUCCUUUCAUAGGACAAACCUUGAGAAACACCCAAUCACCAAUUUCAAACUCUAGUUCUCUUCUUCGAACAUUGGCAUAGGACUUCUGACGACUCUGAGAAGUCUUGAGUCAUUCUCUAAUGAUCUUUACUUUCUCCAUCCCUGAUGAACAAGAUUAAGCCCAAUAAAUGGGCCUCACCCACUUCAUACCAUCCUAUCAGAAACCUACAUCUCCUCCCAUACAAAGCCUCAAAAGAAGCCAUCUUGAUGCUGGCAUGGUAACUAUUAUUGUAAGCAAAUUCAACCAGUGGCAGGUGAUUUACCCAACUACUUUUAAAAUCAAUGACGCAUGCCCUCAACAUAUCCUGGAGGGUCUGAAUGGUACGCUCAGCUAGCCCAUCUGUCUGAGGGUGGAAAACUGUGCUCAAAUUCACUUGUGUACCUAAACCCUUCUGAAAAGAUCUCCAGAACUGAGAUAAAAACUGCAUACCCCUGUCGGAUAUAAUGGACACUGGUGCCCCAUGCAACCGAACUAUCUCCUCAAUAUAAAUCUUAGCAUAACCCUCUCCCGAAUAAUUAGUCCUCACAGGCAAAAAGUGGGCUGACUUUGUCAAUCGAUCUACAAUCACCCAUAAAGAAUCAUACUGGUUUCGAUAUCUCGAAAGUUCUGUAAUAAAGUCCAUGUUUAUUAUCUCCCACUUCCAUAAAGGCAGGGCAAUCUCUUGGGAAGUACCACCUGGCCUCAUGUGUUCUACCUUCACUUGUUGACAGUUCAAACACUUGGACACAAAAUCAGCUACAUCACGUUUCAUGUUAUUCCACCAAUACAAGGUUUUCAGAUCAUGGCACAUCUUAGUAGAGCUUGGGUGAACGACAUACCUCGAAGUGUGAGCUUCAUCAAGGAUCCUUUUCUGCAGUCCAUCAAUAUUUGGAAUGCACAACCUACCCUGAUAUCUCAGAAUACCAUCACCACCAAUUUCAAAUAACAUUACCUUCUGUUGACCCACAUCUUUCUUGAUUUGCAUCAAGAUGGAAUCUUCAACUUACUUCUCUUUCACUUCAGCACAAAGGGAUGACUUAGCUAACUCAUGAACAAUCAUCCCUCCAUCUUCGAAAUCUAAGAGUCGCACUCCCAGAUUCGCGAGGCGGUGAAUAUCCUUCACCAUCUCUUCCUUCUCUUUUUCAACAUGAGAAAGGCUGCCCAUAGACAACCUGCUGAGGGCGUCGGCUACAAUAUUUUCCUUGCUCGGAUGGUAAUGUAGACUCAUAUCAUAGUCUUUCAAAAGCUCCAUCCAACGUCUCUGCCUGAGGUUCAAUUCUUUCUGCGAGAAAAUAUACUGCAAACUCUUAUGGUCAGUAUAAAUAUCAAUAUGCACUCCAUAGAAAUAGUGCCUCCAGAUUUAAGUGCAAACACACGGCUGCUAACUCCAAGUCAUGAGUGGGGUAAUUGCGCUCAUGCACCUUUAACUGCCUAGAUGCAUAAGCUAUAACCUUACCACGCUGCAUCAAUACACAACCAAGUCCCACAUGGAACGUAUCACAAUAAACCACAAAACCAUCUACACCCUCGAGAAGGGUUAAAACAGGAGCAGUAGUCAGCUUGUCCUUCAACUUCUCAAAACUAUUUUCACACAAGUCAGACCACACAAACUUCAUCUUUUUCUGAGUCAGUUUAGUAAGCAGAGUAUCUAUGGAAGAAAAACUCUCUACGAACCUUCUUUAAUACCCCGCCAAACCCAAGAAGCUCCAAAUAUCGGUUGGAGUCGUGGGUCUGGGCCAUUUUAUCACUGCUUUAACUUUCUGGGGAUCCACUCUUAUCCCGCCACUGGACACAAUAUGCCCCAAGAAGGCAAUAGCAUUUAACCAGAAUUCACACUUAGAAAAUUUGGCAUACAGCUGAUGAUCCUUAAGGGUCUGAAGAAUAAUUCGGAGAUAAUUGGCAUGGUCCUCCUCACUUUUACAAUAGAUCAGAAUAUCAUCAAUGAACACUAUGAUGAAUAAGUCUAGAAACUGAUGGAAUACUCUAUUCAUAAGAUCCAUGAAGGCUGCAGGGGCGUUAGUCAACCCGAAGGACAUGACUAAGAACUCAUAGUGACCAUAUCGGGUUCGAAAGGUUGUCUUGAGAAUGUCUGACUCCCUAACUUUCAACUAAUGAUAACCUGAACGAAGAUUUAUUUUCGAAAAACACUUAGCACCCUGAAGCUGGUCAAAAAGAUCAUCAAUCCUAGGAAGAAGAUACUUGUUUUUAAUCGUGACCUUAUUCAGUUAACGAUAGCCUAUGCACAUACGAAGGGAACCGUCUUUCUUUCGCACGAAAAGUACAGGUGUACCCCAAGGGGACACACUGGGGCGAAUAAAACCCUCAUCUAGAAGGUCUGCUAGCUGCUCUUUUAACUCUUUCAGUUCUGCGGGAGCCAUUCUAUAUGGCAAAAUAGAAAUAGGUCGAGUGUCUGGCAGUACAUCAAUGCCAAAAUCUAUUUCUCUAUCAGGUGGUAUCCCUGGGAGAUCUUUGGGAAAGACUUCUGAAAACUCAUUCACUACAAGGACUGACUGAAAAGAAAGAUUUUCAACUCUUGAAUCUUUUACUCAGAUUAGAUGGUAAAUACAGCCUUUGGAGAUAAGCUUUCGGGCUCUAAGAUAAGAGAUAAAGUGACCUCUAGGUUCCACAGAACUCCCUACCCAUACAAUUGGUGUCUCAUUCGGAAAAUAAAAAGUGAUAUUUCGGGUUCUACAAUCAAGUGUGGCAUAACACAAAUGGAGCCAGUCCAUCCCAAGAAUGGCAUCAAAAUCUACCAUAUCAAGUUCCAUAAGGUCGGCCACAAUAUCCCUACUAAGAAUAGACACAACAUAAUUUCUAUAAACCAAACUAGCAACAAUAGAAUCACCUACAGGAGUGGAAACAGUGAAGGGUUCUUCAAUGACUUCAGGCUCAAACCCAAAACCAACAGCCACAUAGGGGGUCACAUAAAAUAAAGUAGACCCAGGAUCAAGCAAUACAUAAACAUCACGAGAAAAAAAUUGUAACAUACUGGUGACAACAUCUGGUGAAGCCUCCGCCUCCUGGCGGUUAGUCAAAGAAUAUAACCGGUUGCGACCGCUCCCGAUAGCUGAAGGGGAACCCUUAGGAGGAAGAGCCGUGGGGGCAGCUUGGGGCCUAGUCCCCCCUGUAUUUUCUCCAGCAGAAGGGCAAUCUCUUUGAAAAUGUACCACCUUGCCACAAGUAUAACAAUUUUUCCCCUCAAAAAAAACUUCCCUGGGUGAUUCCUCCCACAAAUCUCACACCGUGGAUAAGCACGACGUUGUUGGGCCACACUCCCCUGCGACUGAGUAUCUGGGGCUCUCGAUCCAUGAUGAGUCUAGAAACUCUAAGAUCGUCUGUUUGCUGGUGGUCAAGGCAGCAGACUGUGCAUUACUCCAUGACUUCUUAUUUUUCCAUCUAUUUCCUCAGUUGCCGCUCUGUGGAUGGCUGUGAUUCUGAUCCGCAGUUCUGGCUCUCUUUGCUUGCCUGUCUUUCUCUCUUAUUUCUGAAAUUUUCUUUUUGUUCUCUUCUAUUUGUUGCAUAUGAACGAUCAGCCGAGAAAAGUCUAACUCCUUAUUCAACAUAGCCCCCUGGCACUCAAGUACCAGGUUAUCAGCAUGGCUGGAUGCAAAUUUCCUCAUCUGGGCUCUCAUAUUACUAGUCAACUCUGGUGCAUAGUGGGCUAGUUUAUCAAACUUCAAAGUGUACUCCUGGACACUCAUACUGCCCUACUUAAGAUUCAUAAACUCUUCCGCCUUGGCCUCCCUCAACUCUAGAGGAAAGAAUCGAUCAAGGAACAAAUUCGCCCCAAACUGUGGGCUCAGAACUUUCACCUUUUGCAUCCUCCCAGUCGGCAUACCACUGAUUCACAACAUCCUUGAGCUGAUAAGGUGCCAAUUCCACCCCUUCAACCUCAUCCACAUGCAUUACCUUAAAGAUCUUUUCCAUCUCAUCCAUGAACUCCUGUAGAUCUUCCUUCACCUUUGUGCUAGUGAACCUAGGUGGGUUCAUCUUCAUGAAAUUCCCAACCCUAGUAGUCUCAGACGUAACAGAUGCAGACCCAACAUCUUUCGAUCAUUGAGCCUGGUUAGCUACCAACUGUGUCAUCAUAUGAAUAAACCGUCUGAAUUCUGCAUUUAAAAUAUCUCCCUGAGCAGUUGGGGGACGGUUGACAUCAGUCCGCGGAGCCCGAGGUAAACUGGUCGGGACUGGAGGGACUCCCGGAGUAGUGACAAGUUCUUUACGAGUCUGCAUCCCAUGGGUGGGACGGAACUCAUAUGCCUGAGCAUUCUGAUCGAUGAUACGACAUGGAGGCAUAACUGUGUUUCUGAAAUACAAGAGAUCAUUGUUUAGGGGACAGCUCAGACUCUAAAGCUCGAACUAAAUCACAAAGAAGGGAAAUAUUUUCUAAACGCCUAGCAGCCUCCUGCUUAUAUGUGUGGCGUGCUACACACCCAUAAAUAGGACUCUACCCGAUGUGAUUUCGCAGAUACCCUGGGACCAUGAACUGUGCUUUGAUAACAAGUUUGUCACGACCCAAACCGGGGCCCUGGCCAUGACGAGUAUUCCGAACCAUGAGGCCUGAAACACCCUUAUCUGUCUGGUAAUCAUGCACACAAUUCAUAUGAUAAAAGAAAUGCAGAAGAUACACAAUAUAACGGAAACAUGGUCAAGAAUCAUGCGAAAGUAAUAAUAGGGAAUAAUGUCCCACAAUCUCAACACAACAUCUCUAUAACGUCUGCGAAAUCUCUACUACAUGACUAAAACAAAUGUCUAUCUGAAAACUGAGACAAGGCCCCCAGUAGACCCAAAACUAAUAAAUGAUAAAUUAAACUGCAGACAUCAGGCCUUCUAAAAUAUAAAAGGCUCACCACUUGAUUUCGUGAUCUGUCGGAAAGAAUCUACUGGUUGUCUGGACCCUAGACUGUGCCUCCGAACCUGAGAGGGGAGGGGGUCAAUACAAAAGUACUGGUACGCAGAGAAAUCAAAACAGAAAUAUAAUAUUUUUACACAAUAUAGGUGAGAGUCAUUAUGAAGCAGUUUCAUAUCAAAUUAUUUGAAAACACAUGGGCAUAAUGUAAUAGUUUUCAAUACCAAUGUAAAGCGAUUGAGCUAGGUGGAAUACCCUACAAUUGUAAUUCCAUAGCUAUGUGGAAUCCACCCCUGGUGCUCGGAGGCCAAGCCUCCAAUCCAAGUAGCCGCCAGGAUUUGGAGCCGGUAUACCCCCCAUGUGAGUACACCGCAGGGAAUCCCUCCAUGUGAGAUGUUCCAAUUAUUUUAUUAUCCUCUCAUGUAGGAUACAAUAUCAUAUGACCCGCAUCGGCAACUACGGUUUCCAGCGAUGAGCCCUUUCACUCAAACGCCUUCUUCGGGAAUCCACCUUUCUCAUGAAAAUCAAUGCAUUCAAACUUUGUUCAAAUCAAUCACAUGUCAUACUCUGUAGGGUAUCGUCAUACCCGACUUGCAAGUCAUCAGUAUCAUAUCAUUCUCUUCAUUCAAUCAUCAUUUGAAACAUGUUUCAAAAUGAAUAAAACAACCCUCUCUUUGAAAGUCAAAAACCAUAUCCAAAUCAUGACAUUUUAAAGACAUUUCAUGACAUGCAUUUCAAGAUGAUUUCAAACGAUUCAUAUCAUGUGAAAACUUAAAACAAUAUCAUAUCAAGAGAGGGGUUCCGUGUAAAUCAUGCUCUCAAUUUAUCAUCAUUAUGAAACACAUGCAUAUCCAUAUAUAAUAUAUCAAAUCACAUUGGAAUUAGGCCUAAAGACCAAAUCAAUAUCAUAAAACAUUUAAAACAUAAUCAUAUUCGUAAUUUCAAAACCCCCAUUUUGAAAACAUAAAUUUUUAAAGCCCAUGAGAUUUUUAAGAUAACCCCACGUACCUCUAUAUGCGAAGAUUAUAGGUGCUUCUUGAAGCCUACGUUCUGGGGAUUCCAAAUAUGCAAUUAUUUUCUAAAACCCCCAGUUGAAUCUUGAGUUGCUUGGGUUUUUAUUUUGAAACCCUAAGGAGAAUCCUUGAGCAUUUUUGAUGAAUGGAGGUGUAUUUUGAGGUCUUUGGAACUGAAUUUCGUGUUUAGGGCUAAGUAAGGGUGGAAAAGAACCAUUUUGCCCCAAAAACGGAGUGUUUAAGUCAUUUGAAACCUUUACUUAGGCACCGCCUGUGCCAUCGCCUAUGUGGCGCCGCCUAUGCUAUCGCCUAUGCUUUCCAGUGGCCAUGUACGAUUGGUUAGGCGACACAUAUUACUUUGAAAGGCCAUAACUUCUUACUCGGGUGCCAGAUUUUAGCAAAAUUGGUAUCGUUGGAAAGCUAACUCGGAAACCUAUCAUUUUACACAUAGUAGGCUUUCUAAUUCGACAUAUACAAAGAGUCAUGGUCGAUAGAAGUUGACACAAAUUAUACUAUCCACUUAAGCUUAAUUGGUCGAAGUAGUUUUCAACUCGUCCUUGAGUCAAAUGACCCCUAAGGUCAAAAUUCAAGCUUGAAUGGAUUCACAUGCUACACAAAUAAUUAACAUGCCGUAUUGGCAUAGGAUUUAUGGCUUCGGAAUUUAUCAACACAUCGAAAUCAUGGUCUAUAUUAUAGCCCGAAAUGCGGGGCGUUACAUUUAUGGUUGCUUAUAAGUUUUCACAUGAAAACCCUGUAGCUGGAUUUUGUAUCCGUCAUGUGAAAUAAGUUAAGCAUUAUAAAUAAAGGAUUAAAUUAAUCAAUGAGUUAAAUUUUUCAGAGAAUUUAAUUUAAUUGAUUGGUGUCGGUAAUUCUAACAUGGGGAGUUAAGUAAGAUGUAAUGGUAGAUUUUGAAAUUAAACCGUGGAGUGCAAUUACAAAAUUUUAGUGGAAUAAUUUGUAAUUUAUUGUGAUAUGGUAAUUCAUUCAUUUGCAAAUUAAUAUCAUAAUUGGAAGCCCCACUUAAUAAAUCUGUGGUCCCUGCUAUACUUGAUUAACUAAUCAAUUUUGAAAAAGAGAAAGAACUUACUAGAAAAAGUAAUAUUACUUACUGGUCUUCUAUAAGGAAAAAAAAUCUUCUGUUUUAAAAAAAAAAUAAAAAAUUGGAAAAUUAAAGAGGCAAAAAACGUUUUGACAAUUGAAAAUCCAUAUACUGUUGCCUCUUAGCUCCCUCUUUAUGUAAAGUAUGAAUAAACAAUUAAAAAGCCAUAAACUUUGCCUCUUGACUCCCUGUUUAUGUAAAGCAAGAAUAAACAAUUGAAAUGAAAGAAACUUUUGUUGUCUUGUUUUUCUUAUUGGCUUUCCCCUAAUAAGAAUAUAUAGGAGUUUUGGCUAAGAAGAAAUAUACAGUUUUUCUGGACAUAUUCUUUUUUAAUCCAAAAGUACUUGUCCAUACAAGUUUGAUAACAAAGUCAGUCAGGAUAUUGUAGAAGACUGUAGUCCUAGAGGUAAAAACAAUGAACAAAUUGUGUGAAAGCUUUAACAGGUAAAUAAUUUUUUCAAUUUCGUUUGAUAAUUUGUAUUGUCUAGAUUAUAUGUAAGUUAUUGAUCCUGUAGAAUUAUUACUUCCGUUGUGCAUAAUCUAACAAGCAGUAGAUUUAGUUAGCAAGCCAAGCCCAAAUUUAGGUUUAUAUAACUGAAAUGAAAAUUCGAAAAAAAGCUUCUACAACUUUUUCUUCUCUCCUUUUCCUUUCUGCAUGUCUGGAUCAAGGUGCUCUAAAUUACUGAAGUUUACGUAUAUGUAUUAAAUUCUCACUAAAUAAUAUAAUGAUUGAUAACAUUUAAUUCCUGUUUCACUCAACUAUGAAAAAUUAUAUAGUAAAAUCAAUCAACUUAAAAUUACUCAAUUUUGGAAUAUCCUCAAAUAAAUUCACUCAACCAAAUUUGUCAUUAAAAAGAAAAUCUGACAUGAUAAAUUAAAUUAAAUAAAAAACCCGACAGUAAUUUAAUGAUUUUAUUGAUAUAAAACAAAAGUUAAUUAUUUUCCUAAAUAGUUCUUAAAAGUUAAAUGACCAAAUCUAUACGACGUUGACUCAAGAAAGUCAAUAAAAAGAAGAGUCAAAAAUUAGAGGCCGGUACAAAGUCGCACGUAGGGUAACGAGGGGGAUUCACGUCUAUACGUGUAGUGUGGUGCUUAAACCUACCCACCCUAUUUGUUCCAUGAUUUAUGGGUCUACUGGAUUGGUCAAACUUAUUUAUCCUCAAAAUUGCUUAUUUUUUAAAAAAAGUGUUUAGUUUUUUAAAAAGGAGGUGUCUAAUCCAAGUUUCAUACACAAAUUAAUCCGAGUUUGCACCAUGUAUAGCCCGCUCUAUAUUAAUCCAAAAUUUUCACACGCGGCUAGUUAAGAAAGAAAUAACUCCAUCUGCUCCAUAUGUGCUUUACUUGCAAAAUUCGAUAAAUUUAAUCUUUAAAAUUAUAGUAUUUAUAUUUAUACUAAUAAAGAUAAGUAUUAGUUUAAAUCUGACAUUAAUUAAAAUAUCAUAAUAUAUUUUCACGUCAAAAAUAUUGAAUUCAUUAUUACGCCAAAUGGUGACACGUGUCCCCAACUACGCAUACGAUUACAAUUUGCUUUUGUUGUUGUUAGGGAAUCUGAAGUUUUGAUAAUAGAUAUAUGAAUGAAAAAUGUUGUGCAAGCUAGUCCAUACAAGUGAAGAAGAGAAGUUGAAGUUACUGGUUCUCACAUGAAAUUGCAUGAUGCAAGGCUGGCAGGCGUUAGGACAAAAGUGGAUAAGCAAGGACACUCAAAUAUCUUACCAAUGCUUAUCACAUACAACAAAAAAGAUUGAGGAAGAGAUAAGUACAAACACCUAGAGGUUGAGUUGAUCAAGGAAUUCUGUCAAACUAGGAGAUGAAGUAGAAGAGUCCUAUUCAGUCAAAGUGAUAGACGACUACAACAGGAGUGAAACUAUUUGGUAGAGUCCUAUUGAAGAUAGAAGAAUACAUCAUCCAAAUGACUCUAUCAGGAGUUGGCUUAAAUAGAAGAACCAACAUUCAAGAGUUUCACUCAAGCACUGACAAAGAAAAUCAUCAAUCAACAAAUCAGUUCACCACCAAACUUGAAGAAGAACCUGGUCCUUUACUUAGCAAGUCGUAGACGUUGUAGUAGGUUGGUUCUUUGAAUCAUAAUGUGUUUUAUUUCUAGUCUCAGUGAGUUAUAAACUGAGUUAGGAGUUGUGUGUUCAAGUUGGGGAAUUCAAAGACUUGGGAACACUUAUCUUGGGAAGAUUUGUGUUAGUAUAGAAAUGGAAGUUAGAAGUUUUAAUUAACAAAAUCACAAGAAGUGUUGUAAUUUGUUGAUUGUGAGUAUUUAGUGAAGUUGGGGUUAAAUCCGGUACAGGUCGUGUUUUUACCUCUUUCUUGAGCCGGGUGUUUUCCACGUAAAAAUACUUGUUUUCAUUUUUACUUAUGCGAACCACGUUAGUUGACUUGUUUCACUAAUAGGCAACUAUUAGAGUAAAACACUAAAAUCAGUAGGUACAUACUCCAACCGUUGUCUUUUUUUUUUUCCUGAAAAUAAAAAGUUGAUGGAAUACUGUUCCAUUUUAAAAUAUCAAUCCUGGAUUUUUGUACAAAUAUCCAGCCUUAUAACUAAGGGUGGCAGCGGACCGGAGUUAAUCCGGUUUCGGUCCAUUUUCGGUCAUGGUUCGGUCCGAUAACGCAACGGUACCGGUUUGUACCGGUACCAAACGACCUGGAAUACGGUACCAGUGAGGAGGGGCAUUUUUUUCUGGUAGUUCCGAUUCUGGUUUACCGAUUCCGGUGCUGAUUGGCCGGAUUCGGUCCGGCGCCGACCGGUGCAUGUUAAUUUAAAAAAAAAAAGAAAAAUAGUUUUGGCCGUUGUUAACUGUUGUAAAAUAGUUGUUGGAGGGGGCAACGGCUAUUUUGUGCCUCCCCCUACCAAUUAGUCCACUACACCAUUAAUUUUCUACUAUAAAUAUCCUUUUAAAUCAAUUUUUUUUUCUCACAAAUUUCUCAAUUUCUCAUACUCUCUAAAUCUUAAAUCUUAAUAUUCUCAUACUCAAUAUUUAUAAUUUUUGUAUUAAUUGGAGUUGUGAAUUUUUUUAAAGAUACUACAAGCUUCAAUUAUCAUAUUUCAAUUACGACAUUUGGUAUACGUCUGCUUUUACGCAGACGUUCGGUAUAUUCGCUCCAACUUUAAUCUCUAUAUGUUUUAUUUUUAAUAUCUAUAUUUGUUUACUUACAGUCUUACGUUUAUUUUUUGAUUUAUAAUAUUUAUAUUGCUUGUUUUAACAUUUUAAUUAUAUUUAAAUUUAAUUAUGGAUGCAAAUAAAAGUAGUGGUAAGAGACCAAUCUUUGGUAAGGUUUUUCGUAGAAAUAAAAAAAAUAAUGUUACUACUAGUUCAUUAUCGCCUAGAUUUAAUGAAAAUUCUUUAUCACAACCUAAUGGUUUUGAUGUUGGUGCCGGUAUGGAAUUAGAUCAUGAGACACUAAGUAGGCGUUAUAAUAAUUUUGAGGGAGACUUACCGAAAGAAGAUGAUAUAGAAGUACAAGAGUUAGGUGAAACCCCUACCCCUACUAGUCCGGUUACGGAAAUACCAAAAGACGAUGAUGUACUUCCCCUUUACCGAAAUUUAGUAGGGCCAAAGGUACUGAACGUCCUAAACGGUCUUUAGUUUGGCAAUUUAUGAGUCAAGAUAAGGAAAAAAAUAUUGCUACUUGCAAUAAAUGUAAGAGUUAUGAAACAUUUGACUGGGGAAAAAAAUGGUGGGACAGGGUUGCUUACUACGCAUUUGAGGAAAUGUAAUACAAAAUUUAUUCGUCUAGAAAAUGAGGCUAAGGCAAAAAAAGGUGGUACACCAUUGACGGGAAAAUCUGUGGGAGGUAAUAUGGUUCAAACGCGUUUAGAUAGGUUUAACCCAACUAGCUUAAGUUCUACAUUGACAUAUAAUGAAGAUGUAGAUAGAGAAGAACUAGAGAAAAUGGUUACUGUUAUGGGAUUGUCAUUCAGUUUUCCUUCGCAUCCCGGUUUUAUUCAUUAUAUUCAACGAGUAUAUAAUCUUUCUUUCAAAGGUUUUUCACGAAAUACAAUUAAAAAUGAUAUUUUUAAAUUUCAAGGUGAACAUUGUCAUUUUCUUCAUUGCUUAUUUAGUAAAUUUGAUAGUAGAGUAUCUAUUACUUCUGAUAUGAAUCGUAGUAUUAUCGGUAAUGAUUAUUUUACUGUCACGGUUCAUUGGAUUGAUCACCAUUGGAACAUGCAAAAAAGAAUUAUUGUUUAUAAAUAUGUUGACGAAACUAAAACCGGUAAAUAUAUAUCUUUUACAAUAGCAGAAUGCUUAANNNNNNNNNNNNNNNNNNNNNNNNNNNNNNNNNNNNNNNNNNNNNNNNNNNNNNNNNNNNNNNNNNNNNNNNNNNNNNNNNNNNNNNNNNNNNNNNNNNNNNNNNNNNNNNNNNNNNNNNNNNNNNNNNNNNNNNNNNNNNNNNNNNNNNNNNNNNNNNNNNNNNNNNNNNNNNNNNNNNNNNNNNNNNNNNNNNNNNNNNNNNNNNNNNNNNNNNNNNNNNNNNNNNNNNNNNNNNNNNNNNNNNNNNNNNNNNNNNNNNNNNNNNNNNNNNNNNNNNNNNNNNNNNNNNNNNNNNNNNNNNNNNNNNNNNNNNNNNNNNNNNNNNNNNNNNNNNNNNNNNNNNNNNNNNNNNNNNNNNNNNNNNNNNNNNNNNNNNNNNNNNNNNNNNNNNNNNNNNNNNNNNNNNNNNNNNNNNNNNNNNNNNNNNNNNNNNNNNNNNNNNNNNNNNNNNNNNNNNNNNNNNNNNNNNNNNNNNNNNNNNNNNNNNNNNNNNNNNNNNNUAUGGUUGACAAAUUUAAAAAAUAUUUUUUUUCGAUUCCACAAAUUUAUUUGACAGCUACUUUAUUCAACCCAUUUUACAAAGAACAUGGUGUAAUUAUGAUGGUUCAAAAAAUUUACACCAAUUUAGAAAUUGAACCUCAUGAAAGGACAUCGGUUGAAACGUGUUGUGCUAGCAUAGUACCUAAAACCAAGAGUUUAUAUAACAUGUAUCAAGUUAUGGAACAUAAUUUUGCGUCAAUCGAACCUCCUACUUUUAGACAUAGAUAUGAUGAUUUAGAUGAUGAGAUGGGUGAAGAACUUGGUCUUCAAUGUUGUAGCAGUAAUGAUUUUGAUUCAUAUAUUUCUCAGGAUCGGGAAUGUAUUAGAGAUGCAAAUGGACAACAACAACUUUUAGGAUGGUGGAAGACCCGUACCAGACAAUUUUCAAAACUAUCAAGGGUGGUUCGAGAUUUGCUAGCAAGUCAAGCUUCUCCAGUCGCAUCGGAGCAAGCUUUUAGUGCAGGAAGAUUUAUGAUUGGAGAUCAUCGAUAUUUGUUGGCGAAGGAUAGUUUGAAAAUUUUGGUAUUAUUUAGAGAUUGGAUUAAUGCCGAAAGAAGAAAUUUUGGGCUUCCAAAAUUACCGCCCCAGAUUGAAGACAAAAUAGAUGAAAUAUUUGAGGAGAAUAGUGAUGAUGGAAUGGAAGCAAUGGAAGAACAAGGAAAAAAAGAUCAAUUCAGGAAAAUAUAGAAAUAGAUAACUUACGUAUAGAAUAUUAUGGACAUUAUAGAUAUUAAGAUUCUAGAGUACAGAUCUAAUUCAAACAUAACCCUUCCUAGAAGGUGGCUGCGUAGAUUAGAUUCUCUUUUAAUAUUUAUAAUAAAUGUUCAACGUAAUGUAUUAAAUUUGAAUAAAUAUAAAUUUUUCUAAGGUUAUGUAAUAAAAAGUUAAGGUUAUGUAAUAAAAAGUUAAUGUUAUGAAUUAAACUCAUAACUAUUUUAAAAAUUAUAUAUCAAGUUGAUGUUAACUUUUUUUAACAUAACUUUAUAAUUAUAUUAAUAAAAUAAUUUAAAUUAUUAAAAUAAUUAUAUACUUUUAAUUUUUUUAAAGUUAAAAAGCAAAUGUUAUAACUAAUACAUACAUUCUUUUAUUAUAAAAGUCAUAACAUUAAUAAAAAUUAAACAAACAGUGACAUGCAAACAGUAAAACGCCGGAACUUCGGUUUCCGUACCGGUCCGACAUGGUACCGCACCGGUGACAACCGAACCAGGGUGGAAGGACCAUAUUUUCCGGUGAUACCGGUUCCGGUAUAAUACACCGGACAUUCUUUCCGGUACCGGAUCCGGUUCUGAUUGUUCCGUUGCCAGGCUUACUUAUAACUGAAGGGUGGGGUUGAGCACCACAUAAUAUCCUGCUACGCGUCUCCAACACAUAAGUAGGCAUUAUGCACGAGGAAUCAAGUGAAUUUGUAGAUACUUUUGACUGGAUAAUCGUCCUUUUCUAACUAAGGGGACCAAUAGAUUUGCCCAUCUUUUUAUUUUAUUUCUUGAGGAUCCUCACAGGUUUUUUUAAUAUAAGCCUUUUAGAUUGUGCAACAAAAAAAUGUGACACCACUGACAUACCUUCCUUAAAAGAUUUAAUCAAAAGAAGAAAGCAUUCGUCAGAUUUCCAAAUGAAGUUAAAGUUUGCUCAAGUUUCAGAUGACAAAUAGAUAAGAUCAAGCAACAGAUGGACCUGCUUUAAAGCAUAAAGACGUGUAGAUGAUUUUCUGAUAUGGCUUUUCAUCCUCAGCAAAGACCAUGUAGAUAAAUGUGAAAUGGACAUGCACCAAUGAAUCAAGUGAUGUCAAAUUCCAGUGUCAGUAAAAAGCACGACCAAAGAUAUCAAUCUUUUCUACUUUAUCAAGUUGCAAAUCAGAAUUAGUUGCCAACUCAUGAUUGAUGCCAAAAGAUGGUACCAAUAUCCAUCAUAUUUACAGUACUUGAAAGCUUUUGGUCCAAGUCGUACCCAAUUAUAAGGCAGAGCCGAUCAAUAGAUAAUAAAAACCUACAGUAGAUAACAAAAGCCUAUCAAAGCGAAGACACUCGAAUGCUACAGUAUUUUCUAAUAUACCUAACUGCUAUAAACAAAUGAGUUACAUGGCAUCCGUAAGACUAUUCAUAGCGAGAAAAAGAAGUCCAGUCAUUGCUACAACAACAUACCCCAUGUAAUCCCACAAGUGGAGUCCAGGGAGGGUGUGGUGUACGCAGAUCUUACCCCUACCUUGUGAAGUAAGGAGGCUAUUUCGGAAAGACCCUCACCUCAAUUAAAGACAAAUGAAUUAAUGAAAGCAGGUUUGAAAACUCUAGUUAUUGCUACCAGGAAUAACAGGGAAUGUAAAACUACAUCUGAGAUAAAUGCAAGAAUAUCCAUAAGAAUCACUAAAGAUCUGACUUAAGUUGUUUGUUAAGAAAGCGACCCCUAAAUCUGAAUUUUGAUUGAUCUUUUGUUUUUUUUUAGAUAACCGUGAUGUCCGGGCCAUUUUUCGCACACCUCAAACUAAUUAUGCGGGAUACCUGCCACCUCCCACCAACAACAAAUAACAAUCAACUAUGUCCACCGUGGCUAGAACAGAUGAGAAGAAUCACCUAAAGUUUUUUUUUUGUCUCUCCUAGGAUUUGAACCUGAGACCUCAAUUUCUCAACCCACUUUAUUGACCACUAGGUCACACCCUUGGGCGUGAAUUUUGAUUAAUCUCCUCCAAACAUAAAGAAUUGUUUAAGUUGUCGGUGAUAACAUACUAAAACGAGACAUUUCUAUAGAGACUCAAACAUACUUCCCGAGCUAGCUAAAGCUCCAGUUAAAUCUCAUCAUCACCUGGACAUACUUUAACAACAAAGAUCGCAAAUGUUAUCGAACUCAAAUAAACUAUUAGUUACAUGUCACAAGCUGUCCCUAUCUGAUAUUGUUAUCAGAAAAUGAUUGUCCACUGAUCACCAUGAAUUGCACAAUCAGCUUGAACAAAAUAGUGCUUUAAGAACAUAUUUUGAGAAUGAAAUGUGUUGUCAAUAAUGGUAAUUUUUUUUUCAUGUUAGGCCAACCUUCUCAGUGGGUUUUGUUAAUUAGAAGGCAAGGCAAUUCCUGUUAAUAAAGAGUACUUGAGUAGUGCUGGACAUAUUGAAAAACAUUUAUCAAAUGAAGUGUCAACUCAUGUAUGUAUAGAGAAAUGUAUAGCAACACUUGUUUAUUGCGUUACACACACAGAGAGUCAUUUUAAGUGAUUUAAAUACUAAUAAAAGCCUGAUCUACUAAAUGAUCAAAAUAAUGAAACAUAGGUACAACACACAUAUCGAUUGACCAGAUAAGCUGGAAAAAAGCAAAAGUAAAUUUGAUAAAUUGGAAAAUUAUUAGGAAAGACAGUAUUCGUUUACUUGGACAAAUCUUGUGAUCACAGGGAAAAAGAAUUGUCAAACUAUUAAUGGUAUUGCACCAUUUAUAUGGAAUAAUGUAAUUUGCCUACAAUACAUACUAACUAUUAACAAAGAGAGUACUGUAUUUUUUCCAAUCAAGCCUACCUGCUUCAAUAGUUUAACCAUAGUACCCCCCAUGAUCUAUGUGAAAUAAAUAACAUUCUGUUUGAAUAAUAGACUGCUAGACAGUGGGAAUGCAAUUAUCCCAGAUGACUCAUAUCAAUCUGUUUACUAAUUUUGCAGCUCAAAUGGUAUUCAAAUUGCAGUGGCCCUCGAGAGAUUUGGACUAGUGGUAAGAGCGCAACACACAAAUGUGUCAUUAGGCGCAGGUCAUGGAUUCAAGCCAAAGUGUCUUGCUAAGCAAUUGCAGAGAAACCGAACCCUCAAUCACCUUCUCCUCCAAAAUGCUCUAAGCUCUAUUGUUCUCUCCUGUGUAUGAUGCAUGGUCAGUGCACGUCGUAGCAACUCCACAUCUUGAAAUGUGUACCUAAAUGGAAAUGUAUUCAUACACAAGAGGAACUCAAUUUCAAUCAGGAUUUGAUUAACUGAACAGAACAAUUAAAAGAAAUGAGCUAAAGGUCAAAAACACACCUAAAAUAUCAGUUUUCCAAGUUUUACACCAAGGAAAUGUGAGAGAACUUAAUGGUUUCAAUAUAUAAGAGGAAAUUGGAUCUCUUUUUCGUUUGUAUAUAUUGGACAAAUACUUAGUGUUGAGUCCUGCUCCAGUGUAACUGAUAUUUCAGGGACAUGAUGUUUACCUUAUAGGAGUAUUUCAACUGCAAAAAUUGUGCCCGUACCCGGAUGAAAUAUUAAAAAUUAAAAUGAGUUCAAGAAUCAUGUGUUUUUAUUGCUUCAGUUAUCAUAUUAUGUUUUCCCCAAGUGCUUUUAUUUCAUUGUUUUAUAUGUAUCCCAUAAAUUUCUUACAACAAAUAUGAAAUUUGAACAAAAAUUAAUGAAUUCAACCAAACAUGUAAUCUUUACUCUAGCUCCACCCCGGCUAGGAAGGAGAUAAAGGUUUCCCACGCAUUAGAAAUGACAAACAACCACAAUUAUUUAUUGGAAUCAAGAACCAAAGCUUGCAACAUGAUUUACAGGGGAUUACCAAAACAACUAGAGAAAAGAGUUAAAGGAACCUCAAAAACCAUGUUAGUUGCUUUGGUUCUUGUCUGACUCAUUCACUUCACCAUUUUGCUGCGGAGUGACAGAUGUAGUCAUCAAAUCAAAACCCAACUUUUGCUUUGUGAUAUCAUCAAGAACCUCAAUCAUUUCCUUUGAAAGAUGGUUCUUGGAAUCGCCCACUUUGCCUUGCCGGAAAAAUAUGUUGUUUGCAAUAGUAAGACUAAACGCUCCAGAGUAUGUGCCCUCUUUAUUCACCUCCAAAUUUCUUAGUUUUUCAAAGCUGCAGAGCUCUAUUAUUCUCUCUACAAUGCCUUCACUUUCUUCCUCCAACGAAAAUGGCUGCCCCAAGAACUCUGCUAAUUUCUUUGCAUUGAAGAUUGGAUCUUUCUUCAAAUCCUCAUACUUCAAGAAAAGAACCCUCUCUGGAAAUUCUAAGCUGGCUUUAUAAUAUCCCAUCACAUGAUCCCAAAAUGGACCAAAAGGGGAAUACCCUUUAGUAAAUUGGUCAAAUGCUUCUGCUAGAGAAAUGAAAGGCAUGUCUUUGGGUCUUAAUUUCUGCACAAAGUACCAGAAAGAAACUAACACAUCUUUUGCAUCACGAAACACAUAGACUAUUUUGCAUUUGUAGUUAUCACCUGUUAUAGACUCUGGUAAACCAUUGAAGGCAAGAUGUGAUUGUAUGAGACAAGUGUUUGGGGUUGGAUUUGUUGGGUGCUUAAGUGCAUAGGACUCUAGAUAGGGUACUAACUCAUGUGGGUUUGAAGAGAGCAAAGGGUGUGUGCUAAAAUCGUCAUGUUGUAAUCUGUUUGUAAUGGCAAAAAGAAGGGCCUUGAGCCAUGUGGUGCCAGACUUUGGGUGACUGGCUAGUAAGACACUAUUUGGUUUUGGCUCAAAUUGUUGCUGCUGAAGUACUAGCAAACCUUGUAGAACACUUGACGAAUACCAAGUACCUUUGUAUUGGUAAAUCUGAUCACUUACCCAACCUCUUUCACUAGGAAGCUCAGAGAGUAUUAUAUCAACGGAUUCUUGGUGAUUUUCAUGGGUUUGUUCUUUGGUAAUGCUGGCAACAUUUGUGUGUGAGGGGGAGUUUUGGGUAGAGAAGAAGUUUGCCAUUAGAGUUGAUGAGCAAAAGGAAGAGAAACUCUUGCUACAUUUAUAAUAUCACUUAACUAUAUGUUUAUUAUGAAAAAGUUAUUUUUAUUUUAUUUAUUAUACAAAAAUUAUUUUACUUUAUUCUGUUCAUCACAAAAAUUACUAUCAAAUUUUAUAAUAAUUCGAUCAAAAAAAUAUUGUGCAACUUUAAUUAAUUCUUAAUUUUAAUUUAAAAAAUAUAAUAUAUUAUCAUAUUUUAAUUCUUUUUAUAUGUAUCCAACCUAAUUUUUCUUUAAAAUUAUAUAACGAAAUUAUGUCAAUUUUUUUUUAAUAGAACAAACUACCUAAUAAAGAUUAUUUUCAUAAAAAUAAAAUUGGUUGAUAUUUUUAUGAUAAAUUCAAACUUUAAAAUUAUAUUACUCAUACUACUAAAAAUUACUAGUAUAAAUCUAAAUCUGAUAUUUAUUAAAAUAUCAUAAUAUAUUUUCACAUUAAAAAUAUUGAAUUCAUUAUUAUGCCAAAUGGUGACACGUGUCCCAACUACGUGUACGAUUACGAUUUGCUUUUGUUGUCUUAUUUUAUUUUUUUCCGGAAAAUAAAAAGUUGAUGGAAUACCGUUCCAUUGUAAAAUAUCAAUCCUGGCUUUAUGUACAAAUAUCCAGCUACUAGCCUGUGCAAGGCACGGGACAAUGAAUAUUUUUUAAAAAAAAUUAUUUUAAUUAUUUUGAUUUAUAGUAUUUUUUUACAUAUUUCUUUAAAGCAUAUAAUAAAUUAUUUUUUAGAUAUUUUAAGUUGUUAACUAUUAUAAUUUAUAAUAUUUUAAUAUAAUUUUUAAAUAAUUAGAUGACCAUAAUAAUUAAUUAUAAAUGAUAUAGUAAAGUACGCUUGAAGUAGCAUAGCAGACAUGUCUUAAUGACUCACAAUAACUAAUUAGAAGUGAUAUAACAAAAUUAAUGUAAAAAAAUACUUGUGCAAAAUUUUAAAUGGUCAUAAUAAUUAAUUAGAAAUGACAUAGUAAAAUCACGAUUGGAACAACGAAGCAGACAGAUCUAAUUAGACGCAAUAUAACAAAAUUAUUAUACAAAAAUACUUAGUAAAGUAGCUUAAGCAGACAUGUCAUAAAUAUCUAUUUUAUUUUUUAUUAAAUAUUAUUAAUUUUCUAAUAUAUAAAUAAAUUUAUAAUAAUUAAUUAAAAAUGAUAUAAUAAAAUUAUGAAAAAAAUUAGCAAAUAAAGCAGUCAGAAAAAGCAUGUUGACGGAUUUGUGCUUCUCCUACCCCAUUCCCUGUUAUUAGGUAAGAUUAAGAUAAAGAUAAAGAUAAAGAUAAGAUAUUUAGCGUUUGAUAAGUAGGCAUUAUGGACGAGGAAUCAAGUGAAUUUGUAGAUACUUUUUCAGUGGAUAAUCAUCCUUUUCUAAGGGGACCAAUAUCCUUGCUCAUCUUUUUAUUUUAUUUUUCUCUUGUGGAUCCUCACUGGUUGUUUUUAUAAGCCUUUUAGAUGCAAAAAUUAACUAAAUAAAUUUAUUAAAUUAUUUUUUUUCUAUUUCUUUUCUUUUCUUUUUUUUUUUUUAUAUAUUAGAAGAGAUGAUUUCAAUAUGUGAGCUUUUUAUUUUUGAGAGUAUUAAGGUCUUUAAAAUAAGUUUUAAGCUCAAUUUGAUAAUCUUUUGUGCUUUGUUUUUUGAACCUCUUUAAAAAUUUUAAUAAAAGCUCAUUCAUUUCUCUUUAAUUACCAACAAUAUCAUGUAAGAAAUUUAUAAUAAUACCAUCACAUGUGACGUUGCAUAUAUUUCCACAUAUGUGGACCUCUCUAUCUUCUAUUUAUUUUUCAUUUUUAUUUAUCUUUUUUACGAAUAAAACUAUUUCAAAUAUAUUAUAUUUAAGUAAAUUGAUCAGAAAGAUGAUAGUUUAUUGUAAAAAUUAAUUAUUGAUACUAUUAAAUAAAUUUUAUUCUUUAUUUAUUUCAUAUCAAACAUAUAAUUUACUUUCUUUCUUAUUUGUUUCUACAAUUUCACCUAAUUUAAUUUUUUUCUAAUAUAUAGAAGAGAAAAUUUCGAUAUGCCUGCUUAUGUUGUCUUCUUCAACUGCUUCAAUUGUGACUUUAUUAUAUUGCCCUUAAUUAAUUAUUAUAAGUCAUUUAUUUAUUAAAAAAUAAUAAUAUUUAAUUUAAAAAACAGACAUUUAUGACAUGUCUGCUUCAACUGCUUUAAUCGUAAUUUUACUAAACAUCAUCUCUAAUUAAUUAUUAUAAGUCAUUUAUUUAUUAAAAAAUAAUAAUAUUUAAUUUAAAAAACAGACAUUUAUGACAUGUCUGCUUCAACUGCUUUAAUCGUAAUUUUACUAAACAUCAUCUCUAAUUAAUUAUUAUAAGUCAUAUAAGUAUUUAAAGCAGCUCUCCGUCGACCUUUCGGCUUCAGUUGUUUGCUCUGUGAUUUUACUAUAUCAUUCCUAAAGUAAUUAUUAUAAAUUAUACGUAUUAAAAGAUUAAUAAUAUCUAAUAAAACAAUAGAAUAAACAUUUAUGAUAUGUCUGCAUCAGCUGCUUUAAUCAUAAUUUUACUUAGGGGUGACAAUUUCAUCUCAUAUUUGUGAAAAGAGUCCAUUUAAUCCAUAUUUAAUGAAUUGGAUCACUCGUAUUUUAAAUGGGUAAAUAUGGACUUCAACUCAUUUUAAAAACUCAUACACAUAUGGACAAAGUGGGUAAAAUAUGGAUACCCAUUUAAACACAAAGAUCACCCACCUAUGCUUAAAGUUUCAAAAUUUUUUUUCUUUUCUAGUUUCUUUUCUUUUUUCCUUUAAUUUGCUUUUUUCCCUUUUCAUUUUUUUACUCAUUCCUUAUAAUUUCUUUUUUUCUUUCUUAUUUUUUCACCUAUUUUUUAAUUUUUUUAUUUCUUUUUUCUUUGUAUUCUUUUUUUUUUUGUUUUUCCCUCUCUCAUUCUUAUUUCAUCAUUUAUAUUCGCUUGAGACCUAUAUGAGUUAAUAAAUAUAAACUUCUAAUUAUCCCAUUUAGCCUAUAUAAUUCACAUCUCUUAUCAAUUAAAUAUAAUCCAUAGUUUCACUCCCUUAUUAUUAUUUUUUUCUAUCUUUUAUUUCUCUCUUCUUCUUCUUUUUUUCUUUCUUUUUUCCUUUAAUUUACUAUUUUUUCUUUCUUUUUUCCUUUAAUUUACUUUUUUUUCUUUUUCAUUUUUUCCACUUAUUUUUUACUCAUUUCUUACACUAUUUUUCUUUCUUCUUUUUCAUCAUUUUUUUCUUUUUCAAUUUUAUUUCUUUACAUUUUUUUUGUAUUUCCGUUUUUCCCUUUUUCAUUCUUGGUUUGUCAUUUUUGUCAUUUUUCUUUUUUUUUUAUAUUCUUUUCCUCAUUUUUUUUGUCAUCGCAUUUUAUAUUUUUUUACUUUAAAUUUAUUUGUAUCAUACUAUAUAUUUCAAAUAAAUUUAUUAUUUGUAUUUGCAUAGUUUAGUAGUCAAUAUGUGCAAUUUAUCAUUUGUAUUUAUAUACAAAUAAAUAUAUGAAUUAAAAUCAACAUGGUUUGUGGUGCAGUGAAUGAGGCUGCUCCAUCCUUAACCAGAGGUCGAGGGUACGACCCUGGUUAUGGAGAAAACUCUGUUGAAAGCGCUGCCACCUUAAUGGGCCCUCCAACGCCCGAUCCGGAUUAGUUGGAGCUCCAAUUCAGGCAUCGGACACCGGAUGAAAAACCAAAAAAAAAUAUAUGAAUUAAUUGUAUUUUCUUGACACUAAAAUAUAUAUGGCUGAGGAUCUACAUAACUCUCGAAUUAUAAAUGUUGGGCGAAUAUAAAUCAAUAUAUGCUUAUAAUAUUUUCGUUAUCAUAAAAAAAAAAAAAAAGGAAACCAAAAAUAGAAAAAAAAAAGUUGAAAGAGAGGUAGAAGCUAGAUAUAGAAGAGAGAAAAAAAACAUAAAAAAAGAAUUGAAGAAAAAAAUACAAAAAAAAACCAAAAAGAAAAAAUAAUGAAAAAGGAGAAAAGGAAAAAGGAAAAAGAUGAUUGUGAAAACAAAUAUACUGAGUGAUUACGAUAUUUUAGUCAUCAUUCAUAAUUUAUACUCGACUUAACCAUGUUCUUCGAAAAUAAAAAAAAUAUAAAACAUAAAAUACAACCAAAAAGGGAAAAAAUGAGAAAGAAGUAAAAAAAAAAAAAGAGAGAGACUAAAAAGGAAAAGAAAAAAAAAAGAAAAAAGAAAGAGAAACAAAGGGUAGAGGGCAGAGAUAGCAGAGAGAGAAAAAAAAAAGAAAAGACAAAAAAAUGAAAAAAAAAAACUAGAGCCUACAUAUAGAAGAGAGACAAAAAAAAAGAAAAAGAAAAAACUAAAAAAAAAUGGAAAAAAAGUCAAGUUGAUGUGAUAUAGAAGCUUUAAGUUUUUUACUUGGGAGUUAAAGUGGGUUGAAACCAUUUUUACCCAAUCCAUAUUUACCCAUAUUUAUAUGAGCGGAUUGCAAUCCAAACCAUUUUUACUCGAUCCAUAUUUAACCCGUCCUAAUUCAAUCCAAUCCGCCCGUUUGCCACCUCUAAUUUUACUUAAUAUCAUCUCUAAUUAAUUAUUAUAAGUCAUCUUAGUAUUAAAUAAAUAAAUAAAUAAUAUUUAAUUAAGAAGAUAAAAUAGAUAUAAAAUGAUAAGUUAACUCUUGAAGUUUUAAAAUAACUUGACGUCUUAAAUGAGAUUUCACUUAAUUUUUUUUCACAAGUAUCUUUUAUAGUAAUUUUAUUAUAUCACCUCUAAUUGGUUGUUGUGAGUCAUUUAAGACAUGUCUAUUUCGUUGCUUCAAUCAUGAUUUUACUAUAUCACCUCUAAUUAAUUAUUAUGGUCAUCUAAACAUCAUGUCACUUAAAUUAGAGUAGAAAAAGUUUUACACAAUAAUUAAAAAUUUAAAUUAUUUAGAAAAUAUAAUUGACUAUCAGUGGCACAAAACUCCGGACAAAGAGAGUAGCGUAUAUUUUUAAAAAAUUAUAAGAAAAAAUAUUAUAAAUUACAAUAACUAAAAAUUUAAAAUAUCUAAAAAUAAUUUAAUUUAUUAUAUAUUUUUAUAAAAUACUUAAAAAUAUUAUAAAUCACAAUAAUUAGCAACUUAAAAAAUUUAAAUGAUAUAAAUAUUUGGUUGACUCUCGAAAUUGUAUUAGUUUCACUUAAAUUGAAAUAGAAGAAAAAUAUUAUAAAUCACAAUAAGUAAAAUUUUAAAUUAUUUUAAAAAUACAAUUGACUAUCAACGCCACAAAAGUUUGAAUAGAGAGAGUAAUAUAUAUUAUUUAAAAAUUACAUAAAAAAUAUUAUAGAUUACAAUAUUAACAACUUAAAAUAUUUAAAAACAUAUUAAAAGUAUGAUUAAUUGUCUAAAUUCAAUUUGUGUCAUAGAAAUUAAGACAAAAAAACAUAUAUUUAGUUCAUGCUAGAUUCUGGAUGGCUCUUAGGAUGUAUAUGCAAUACAACCUUUUUUUUAGUUUUUGUUUUAAUAUAUCAAAAUUGAAAAUACAGGUUCUAAUGCAGUACAUCAAACAGUGCAUAAGAAAUAAUGUUAGCAUAAAUAAUACCAAUAUUAUUAAUACAAGCAUUAAUAAUGUAAACAUUAUUAAUACAUUCUAUCAGCAUUAUUUUUUACACUCUAACAAAAGACUACACAUUUCAAUGUAUGGAACAUAUACAAAAGGAAAGUUUAAUAAAAUAUCUAUAUAAGUAUAUUUUAUCGUGUUCUCAAAAUCAAAUAAUUUAAAUUAAUAUGAAAGAUGGUAACUUAUAGUUUUUUUUAUAUAUAAUUUUUGAAACACUUAAAAUAUUAAUUUAGUUUAACUUCAAAGAACAAGGUAACAAAUAAAAGAGAAGGGAAAAAUGAAAGCAAAUGAUGUUUAUGACGGCUUAGUAAGGAAAUAUAAUGCGGGUUAUUAAUUGCAAUUCACAUGUGAUGUAAUAUGUAAUGACUAGAUAACCCUUUAGCUUUUUCAACACUUAUUCUCAAGUCUUGUGUAUCAUUUUUAAUCUCAAAUUUUCUACUUAAUAUAGCAAAUCUCAAUCAUAUGAUUAAAGAUAUAAACUUUUAAAUGCAUCAAAUUUUAUUGUUUAUAUGAGUAAGUUAUACAUAAUUAUCUUGUAAGACUUGACUCGGUGAAAAAUACUACCAAGCUGUUAAUAUGUUUUAUGUAUUCAUGUUUUAUAAUUCAUAAUUCGAAUUAAUAUCAAUUUAACUUACUGUAUAUAGUAAAAAUAUCUUAACAUUGGGCCUAUGCUGACACAAGCAUGCUCCUUUAGUAUUAUAAGUUAGGCCAAAGUCAUCCACAGACACUCAAACUUAUUUCGAAAAUUCACUUAGACCCCUCAACUAAGGUUUGCACCUAUUAGGCCCCUAAAAUCCCCGAAUGUUGAUCUAAUUGAACAUUUUUUGCCUUCAUGGCACAUCGCGUGUUGUGUAAUCACGGGAGGCACGUGAGGAAUAUUUUUUAGACUAAAUCACGAAUAAAAAUAUGCCAAGCGGCAUUGAGGACACCAAAUUUUUUUUAAUAAAACAAAAAUCUGAUUUUCUUUACUAAUUCUUUGAUUUGAAUAUUAAUAAACCAAUUACAAAUUCUUUUUAAUAAAACAAAAAGCACUGGUCCCCAAAAAAUUUUUAAUAAAGCAAAAUUUUAAUAAAAAAGCCUCCAACAUAUUUCCCAAUUCUGAUACCUUCUUCAUCUUCUUCUCCACCCAUCUUCCUCAUUUUUUUUUUUCUUCUUAAAACUUAAUUCUACUGGUCAUCCAAAAAAAGGAAUAAUCCAUCAAAAAAACUCAAAAAUUCACACAAAUCUGAAUCCAUUCACCACCUAAAACGCUAACUCAACUAAAUCCACGAAAUGGUAAACAACCCAGAUCGAUCCAAAAUCACAAAAAUCUUGAUGAAAUUCAUAAUCAAAAACUCUAAUUCACCAAAAGGGUCAUCCAAAAACGACCAAAAACGCUGGUGAAUGAUAAAAAUAUAAAAUGAUAUUAAAUGAUACUAUUACCUGGAAUAUGUGUAUAAAAAUGAUACUAUUCCCUGGGUAUGGUUUAACAACUGGGUUGGUGUUGAAUUCGUUUGUUGAAACUUUGUUGGUGCAUAUGUAUGUGAAUUGUGACCGUUUGGGAUGUGCACGUAAGGUGUUUGAUAAAAUGUGUGAACUAGAUGUGAUUUCUUAUCUUAAUCUGAUCGUCGGAAAAAAUAGAGAAAAGGCUUUGUGUAUAUGUAUUAGAGGCCUUUUCUCUACUUUAAAGCAUAAAAUUAGAAAAAUGAUUUAUGGGUUCAUGUAAUAGAAUAAAUUUAGAAUGGUAGAAUUUUGGAGUUUAUUUUCCGGCGAGUCUCGCCGGAAAAUGUCUACUGUGUUGCUGCUCUCGUGUGUGUGUAAACUGUAAAGGACCAUGAGUGUGCGUGAACUCUAUGUGUGUGAAAACUCUGUGUGUGUGAACUGUGUGUACGCCGGGGGUUGGGGUGUGAAGAUGACGACGGGGUGGGGUUGAGGGGUACUUUUUUUCUUCUUUUUUUUAAUUAAUAAAUUAUUAUUAAAUAGAUAAUUAAAUAGAAAAAACAGCAAUUUCACGUAAUAAUUUUUUUUCUGACAUAUGUUUUUUUUUGCAUUGGUUAAUUUUGCCACGUCACGCGAGUGUAACACACUCUCUAGGUACCUUUUGCUGAUUGUGUAAAAAAGGCUCAAUUGAAUCAAAAUUCGGGGGGUUUAGGAGUCUGAUAGGUACAAGCCUUAGUUGAGGGAUCUAAGUGAAUUUUCGAAACAAGUUUGAGUGUCUGUCAAUGACUUUGGCCUAUAAGUUAUAACAAUUUUUUUAGUUUUCAAGUUAUAACAACUUUCAUUUAAAAAAAAAAAAUCUUAAAAAUAUAUUUUUCAUUUUUGUAAAGAAAAAACAUAUCAAAAUAAUUACAGAAAAGGAAAAUAUAGAUUUAAUAUAACUAAUCUGCAAUAUUCCUUCCUUAAAUAUAGUUAAUCUUAAUAAUUGAUAUCAAUCCCACCCCCCAUUUCCCUCCAACUGUUUUUAUUUUUCCUAUUUUAAUGCGUUCGUUAAGGGUUUUCACCUUCAUACACUUUCUUCUUUUUACUACAAGAUUAUAUUGUUCCAGUAAACCAAUUUCAUAAUUUCUUUUUAUUUUAUGCAACUUCUAAGAUUUUUUUUUGAAAGAAAAACAAACAUAAGUUAUUGUUGCGUUAUAAAAAUAUGAUUUUUGAUAAUCUGCACUCAAUCAUGAUACGUCAUGGAGGAAGAUGGGAUUCAUAGGUAUGUUAAAUUAUUUAGCAAAUUGAUAUUUUGCAAUCAAACAUAUUUAAAGAAUUAAAUUAAUUUUUUACAUGUUUCUUCAAUUCGUUAUUGUUAAAAUGUUGAAUUUUGUAUAAUAUGAAGAUGAAAUACUCUUGAAAGAUUACUGUAUUUGAAGUUGUGUAUGUUUAUGGAUUGCAUGAUAAAAGUAAGAAUUAGUUGUUGAAUUUUCUAUAAUAUGAUGAUGAAAGUCUCUUGAAACAGUAACUUUAGACUCAAUUAUACAUAUCAAAAGUUUGUGUCUUAAAGUUCUUGCAUACCAUAUGUUUAUAUUCAAUUGUUUGAAAGUUCUUGCAUACUGUAUGUUUAGAUUCAAUUGAUUAAAGUUCUUGCAUACUGAAUGGGUUGCAUGUAUGUUUAUGGGCUGCAUGAUAUGAUUAAAGUUUAAUAAUCUAUGUUUUGUGUAUUAAAGUUGAUUGUGAAUGUAGGUAAAAGCAUCAAAUGAAUUGGCUACAGUUGUGCAGAAUUUCAAAUGUAUGAAAUACCAUGCUCUUAUGCAAUGGCUUCUAUUUAUAGAAACCAACAUCGCAAGAACUACUGUUCACCUUACUAUAACAAUAAAAAUUUCAGAGAUACUUAUGCCAUACCGAUUGAACUUCUUCCUUGUGAAAGUACAUGAAAAUUUUCACGUGGAGUGUUGAAUGAAAUUGUAUUACCUUCGGAUUCAAAAAGACCUCCCGAAAGACCAUGUUAUGAAAGAUGAAAAGCACCAAAUGAAGAAAAGUAUAAAUGAUCAAAGGUUACGUGUAGUAACUGUCAUCGAGAGUGACAAUAAAAAGACAUGCCACAAACAUGCAUCUCCUACUUAAGAUGGAAUCUGUGUUUCUUAAUUUAUUUUGAUGUUAGAAUGUUUCUUGUUUUAAAUUAUUUAUGUUCGAUAAAUUUUGGUGUUGAAAUUUGUUCUAUUUUCACUAUUUUAUGUCCAUGGAUAUUGAUUUAUCAUAAUUUUUAAUGAUCAAACUCUGAAGAGUUAAUGCUAUUUUUGUUCAGUGAUAAUGACUAUAUAUUUUGAUUGAAAUUGUUGUAUUAUUUAUGACGGUGGCUGACUUGUAAUAAAGUGUUUCACAAUGAUUUAUGUAUAUGUUGAUGUUGCUUGUUUAAUUGUAAAUAAUAGCAAAUGACAUAUAUGAGUAGAAACAGUAAAAUAUAUAUGCAAAGACAACUAAAAGUAUUUUCUCAGCUACUGCAUGCAAUCCUAAAUUAUCCGUUUGGAAUAUAACCACACUACCAAUUUUUCUCAGAGAACAUAAAUUUAUUUUUUUCAUUAUCCUUUUUUCAAACCAACAACAUAUAUGAAAUCAUGUCACAAUCUUUUCUUUCCACGAGUGAGGAUGAUAAUCAUAAACCUCACCAGUUGUUUUCAACUCCAAUCAAACAUGUCACAACAACACAAAUUUUUCUUGAUUUAUAACAUUUUCGUCCUUGCAUAUGCUUCUCCCAUAACUCAGUCGAAAAGCAGAACAAUCCUAGAAGCUACAAGCUAAUGCCCACAUAUGGAAGUUUCAACAAUUUUAUCUUUCUUAUCCAAAACAAUAACAUAUAAAGUAUGCCAGUGUUGAUGUUUAAUAGAACGACAAAGGGGGGAAGAACAGAGUUGCGUAAAACCAAAAUAAGGUGGAUACCAUAAAUCACCACGAAUUACCAAAAAGUAUACAUAGGAACGCAGCAUCAUACAACACACAGAGAAAUAAUAAACACCUACCCUAAAGUUUUAUUUAUUUAUAUAUGUUUUCUUCAAUGAGAACUCUGCCCAUUUUCAACACCUAGACCAUACAAGACACCAACAUACUUCUCCUGUGAACCGCUAAAGUAGUUCUCUUUCAAAUUCCUAAAUGUACAAGCAGUGAGUAAGCUAUCUGAACCCGCCAGAUGACAAAUACCAACCCUCUCAACAUUUAACAGCUCCGCAAGCUUGUUCAAUCCACCAUGAAGGCUGUUGCAGAACUUCAUCAAAUGCUUGAUAUCGAAAAUGACAGGAAAGUAAAAAAUUUAGCAAGGUAAGAAAAUCUUCUUGCGUAUUAGGCAAAUCCCGUCGAUUCAACAGCUUCCACAGGUAUCAAAAAUCAUACCUACUGUGAAACGUAACCCACGAAACACUAUCAUUUAGCACAACCCCUGAUGACAUCCAAAGCUCCCCAAAUCGCUUAGCAACAAUACCCUUUUCAUUAUUCAUCUUGAAAUCAAUCCCACUUUCGCGCAACAACUCAAUAGAAUCAUUUGCGAAAACAUCCUCAUUCGGAUUGAAUUCACGAAAAUUGAAUUGUCAAAUACAGCAUUGAUCAGUUCCAUAAUUUGGCAAGUUGUCAUUUUCAUAUGAAAAUAUCAACCGUAACUGAAUCAACUUCAACAUAUCAACAUUAUCCUUAAGUGUCUGAAAAUAAAAAUCAUUAAUACUCUUAAAAUUUCCAAUCGGCCGAAUCACCACUCCAGGAAACUCCGUAUCCAUAGCAAUAAACGAAUAAUCAUCAAUAAUCUCCCGCAUCAACACAAAUUCUUCCUCCAGAUUCUCAUUCCAAACCUCUCGAAUAAGAAAACAACACUAAUAUCGGUAAAGUAACACUGGAUGGGAAUGAAGGAAUAAAAGAUGGAAAACCUAACUUCAUACACGUAAAUAUCAAAAAAAAAAAAAAAAAGAGAGAAAAGAAAUAAAAAGAAAUUAUGGUAAAGAAGAAAGACUCUUCUCGGGAAAGUAACACGGGAAAAGGUGUAAGUACAGAAUUACUAACUUAAUUAUUCAAGUUAAUAAAAAAUCAAAAAUCAAGUAUCAUUGUAAAAAAUUAUAUAUACCAUAUUUGACUCCUUGAAUUAUGAACAGAUUUUGUAACUUAAUUAAUACAAUAAAAAAAGAGAUAAUUAUUGAUAUCAAUAAUAAAACUUGUCAUAAUUAUCAAAAGAUUUAAAGAAGAGUGAUAAAUAUUAAAGGGUAUAAAUAAGGAUCUAAUUUAAAUAUUAAAUAUGAAAAAAUGAUUUUCUACUAUUAAAAAGAAUAUUUUUUCUAAAAGUUGCUAUAACUUUACAAUAAUUUCUUUAGUCUAGUAAUUAUUGAAAAGUAUUGCUAUAACUUGCAAUAAACAAUUUAAUAAGCUUAUUUAGGAUAAUUUUCACUUUUAGAUUGUGAAACAAAAAAAGGUGACACCACUGACAUGCCUUACUUAAAAAAAUUUAAUCAAAAGAAGAAACCAUUCGUCAGAUUUGCAAAUGAAUUUGAGGUUUGCUCAAGUUUCAGAUGACAAAUAGAUAAGAUUGAACAACAGAUGGACCUGCUUUAAAGCAUAAAGAUGUGUACAUGAUUUUCCGAUAUAGCUUUUCAUCCUUAGCAAUUAGCAAAGACAGAAGACUAAAACAUGCAGAGAGAAAUGUGAAAUGGACAUGCACCAAACUAUCAGGUUGUAACACCCCGAAUUUUGGGCUAGAACGUAAACCGUCAUAUUCCUUCACGUAAAGGUUUCAAAAGUCAUAAAUCCGAUGCAAAUAUAGUGUGUUGAUCAAUCAUGUAGUGUGGGAAUCUAGUUGAGCAUGAAUUGAGAUCAUAGAGGUCCCUUAACCCAAGGAAGAGUUGGAAACCCUAUCAUUUUAGUUUUAGUGAGCGUCGGAACUUGGGUCAACUUCAAUCGACCAUAACUUUUUGUAUAUAACGAAUUAGUGUUCUAUAUAUCAAAUGAAAGGUCUUCGAAAUAACUUUCCAAUGAUACCAAUUUCGCCUAAAUCCGAUAACCGAGCGAAAAGUUAUGACUUUGCAAAGUGGAGUGUGUUGCCUAACAAAUCGCCUAAAUCCAUUGGAAUGGUUAUGCCAUAAGCUAGGCGCCGCCCAACCUAGCUUAGGCAAUGGGUUAGGCGAUGGGCAAUGCGCCGCCCAGCCUAGCUUAGGCGAUGGGCAAUGCGGCAUAUACCUUAUGGCCCAACGAUGUAAUUUCUUCAUUUUUAAGUCAUUUUAAGGGCAACUAAGUCCUUUCACAUCCCAAAACCGUCCCUAAUCAUCCUUAAACGAAUUUAGGCUUAUUAGUAACGUCUAAACUAUCCUAAGAUCCCUAGUUCAUCCUUCAAGAACACAAGAGGAGAAAACAACUAGGGUUUGAGCAAUCAAGUUUAAAGGUCCAAUCUUUUCGAAACUUCUUCACGAAUUCUUCGCAACUAAGGUAUGUGGGUUUAUCGUAAAACUAUAUGGGCUUGUUGAAACACUUGAAUAUAAUCUAAAGUUUAUCAAGCAUAAAAUUAUAAGGGGGUUCUGGAAUCUAUGUUUUAAAUUAUGCAUCCUGAAUGUUUCCAUGCUAUUAUUGUUUUGACCUUGAGGCCUUUCCCAUUAAACUGAGUUAUACUCAUAUGUAUAUAUAUGAAAUUGAGUUUUGAAUAUUGAUUGAGAGCAUAAUUAUGAAGUCCCUCUCUUGUGAUGAAUUGAAGUUUAUAUUCUUAUCGAGAAUGAUUUGAAAUGCAUGUGUUAUGGAAAUGCAUGUGUUAUGGGUUAAAAGUGGUUUUUCUUGAUUUCAUUGUAUUUGAACAUGAUUUAGAGACGAUGAGAGGGAGUCUUCUUGCUAAACUAUACCCUUGUUUUAAGGAGAAAGAAUUUCAUAUGAUUGAGUAAAUUGACAUGACCACCUUAUGUUAUUGAAAUGUUGAAAAAGAGAGGGUUUCUUGCACGUGUUUACAUGAGUUCUUUGAAUUGAAUUAUUUGAUAUGGUGGUCCCAAACCUUAAUGUUUUGAAAGCGGAGAUUAUAUUGCGCUAUUAAUGACUCAUAAAUGCGACUUGCAAGUCAACGGUAUGACGAUACCAUAUAAAUGUAUGCCAUAACAGAGCUAGAGCUUUCAGAGUUUGAUUUAAGAGAAUAACAUCCUAAAACGAGACAUUUCUAUAGAGACUCAAACAUACUUCCCGAGCUAGCUAAAGCUCCCACUAAAUCUCAUCAUCACCUGGGCAAACUUUAACCACAAAGAUCGCAAAUCUUAUUGAACUCACAUAAACUAGUAGUUACAUGUCACAAGCUGUCCCCAUCUGAUAUUGUUUUCAGAAAAUGAUUGUCCGUUGAUCACCAUAAAUUGCACAAUCUGCUUGAACAAAAUAGUUCUUUAAGAACAUAUUUUGAGAAUGAAAUGUGCUUGACAAUAAUAGUUAUUUUUUUUCAUGUUAGGGCAACCUUCUCAGUGGGUUUUGUUAAUUAGAAGGCAAGGCAAUUCCUGUUAAUAAAGAGUACUUGAGUAGUGCUGGACAUAUUGAAAAACAUUUAUCAAGUGAAGUGUCAACUCAUGUAUGUAUAGAGAAAUGUAUAGCAACACUUGUUUAUUGCGUUACACACACAGAGCCAGUCAUUUUAAGUGAUUCAAAUACUAAUAAAAGCCUGAUCUACUAAAUGAUCAAAAUAAUGAAAAAUAGGUACAGCACACAUAUCGAUUGACCAGAUAAGCUGGAAAAAAGCAAAAGUAAAUUUGAUAAAUUGGAAAAUUAUUAGGAAAGACAGUAUUCGCUUACUUGGACAAAUCUUGUGAUCACAGGGAAAAAGAAUUGUCAAACUAUUACUAGUAUUACCAUUUUUAUGGAAUAAUGGAAUUUGCAUACAAUGAAUACCAACUAUUAACAAAGAGAGUAAUGUAUUUUUUCCACUCAAGCAUACCUGCUUCAAUAGCUUAACCAUAUUACCCCCCAUGAUCUAUGUGAAAUAAAUAACAUUCUGUUUGAAUAAUAGACUGCUAGACAGUGGGAAUGCAAUUAUCCCAGAUGACUCAUAUCAAUCUGUUUACUAAUUUUGCGGCUCAAAUGAUACUCAAAUUGCAGUGGCCCUCAAGAGAUUUGGACUAGUGGUAAGAGCGCAACACACAAUUUGUCAUUAAGCGCAGGUCAUGGCUUCAAGCCAAAGUGUCUUGAACCAUGUGCCACCGACCCUUGUGGAUGUCUCGGUUUUAAAGAAAAUUAUUCCACUUGCAGUGGACACAAAUGAUUUCGAUACAUAACAUAGUUCAAGUUUACGAAGUCAACUAGUUACAUAGUGCAUACUAAGCUGAACACACAGUGGCUAAUCUUCAACACAUAAUAAACAAAGUUCCCCUGACUAGAAAUAUGUCAGCCAACAUCAACA
rnacentral:lncRNA from 1 species